rnacentral:lncRNA from 1 species
AAAAUGCCGAAGAAACAUAUUUCACAUAACAAGAGUAACAAGCCCUAGGAGGAUUAUAAGGUUUCCUACCAGCCCAAGACCAAAUUCAGUCACUUGAUACAUCAUCAUCAUCAUAAUACAGCCAUCAAAUCUAUAGACUAAACUAACAAUUAAGGAUCAACAUCCAUACUAUAUCAUGCUCAGCACACGCACAAAAUGUUUCACCGAGCACUAAACACAUCCAUCUAGCAGACCAAACAGCCCGGAAAAUUGACCAUCAACUGGAUUAGCAAUGCAGUGCACAAUCACAGAGCACUAUGAGUCUACCAUCUCAUCUUGCAAUGCAGUGCACAAUCUUGGAUGGCUGCGGCGGCGGCUACGGUCUGGCGGCAGGUGGGAGGAGACGGGGCAACAGCGGCGAGGCUUUCUGGGCUCUGGGGGAGAGGGCGAGGGGAAGCGAAGNNNNNNNNNNNNNNNNNNNNNNNNNNNNNNNNNNNNNNNNNNNNNNNNNNNNNNNNNNNNNNNNNNNNNNNNNNNNNNNNNNNNNNNNNNNNNNNNNNNNNNNNNNNNNNNNNNNNNNNNNNNNNNNNNNNNNNNNNNNNNNNNNNNNNNNNNNNNNNNNNNNNNNNNNNNNNNNNNNNNNNNNNNNNNNNNNNNNNNNNNNNNNNNNNNNNNNNNNNNNNNNNNNNNNNNNNNNNNNNNNNNNNNNNNNNNNNNNNNNNNNNNNNNNNNNNNNNNNNNNNNNNNNNNNNNNNNNNNNNNNNNNNNNNNNNNNNNNNNNNNNNNNNNNNNNNNNNNNNNNNNNNNNNNNNNNNNNNNNNNNNNNNNNNNNNNNNNNNNNNNNNNNNNNNNNNNNNNNNNNNNNNNNNNNNNNNNNNNNNNNNNNNNNNNNNNNNNNNNNNNNNNNNNNNNNNNNNNNNNNNNNNNNNNNNNNNNNNNNNNNNNNNNNNNNNNNNNNNNNNNNNNNNNNNNNNNNNNNNNNNNNNNNNNNNNNNNNNNNNNNNNNNNNNNNNNNNNNNNNNNNNNNNNNNNNNNNNNNNNNNNNNNNNNNNNNNNNNNNNNNNNNNNNNNNNNNNNNNNNNNNNNNNNNNNNNNNNNNNNNNNNNNNNNNNNNNNNNNNNNNNNNNNNNNNNNNNNNNNNNNNNNNNNNNNNNNNNNNNNNNNNNNNNNNNNNNNNNNNNNNNNNNNNNNNNNNNNNNNNNNNNNNNNNNNNNNNNNNNNNNNNNNNNNNNNNNNNNNNNNNNNNNNNNNNNNNNNNNNNNNNNNNNNNNNNNNNNNNNNNNNNNNNNNNNNNNNNNNNNNNNNNNNNNNNNNNNNNNNNNNNNNNNNNNNNNNNNNNNNNNNNNNNNNNNNNNNNNNNNNNNNNNNNNNNNNNNNNNNNNNNNNNNNNNNNNCGGUGGGUCGUCGACGCGGUGGAGCGGGGGAGUAUGCGGGGGGGGGAUCGAGAUCGAGAUGGCUAUUUUUAAAAAUAUUCAUGAGUUCAAAAAGUGCCCAUGAAAUACAAUCGAGAAAUGAAGGCUACAAUUUAAAUACAAUCGAUCUUAGCUAGCUAUCUGUUCACAAUCUUCUUGCCCUUAUUUUUCGUAAAUGGAGUUCUUCUCUUGAAUGGACGUCCUUUAGGUAGGGUGGUCCUGCUUCUUCUUGUGGUGUAUGCUGGUACUUCAUCGUCGUCGUCAUGUUCCAUCUUCGGGUCGCCGUACUUGUCGAAGUGUUGCUCAUUGGCGACUCCAUCCAUUCCGAUGAUCUUCCUUUUGCCUCUCCUCACAACAACACGACUGGGCUUUGACGGGUCGGUAAUGAAGAAGCAUUGGUCCACUUGGGAAGCUAGUACCCAUGGCUCAUUUUUCGCGGUGACGUUUGCGCCCGCGGUCUUGGAUUUGCCUUUGGGUAUAACCAUGGUGGUGAAAUACCGGUCUUCUUUUAGGACGCUCUUGGCCCAUCUGACACGGAACAUCGGGACCUUCUCUCCAGCGUAGCUCACCUCCCAGAUCUCCUCGAUCCUUCCGUAGUAUCUGUCCUUGUCGUUACCGGUGUAGGAUUCCAUCGUUACCCCGGAGUUCUGACAACCAUCGCUCUUCAUGUCCUUUCCCUCGGUAUAGAAUGUGUAGCCGUUGAUAUCGUACGCCUCAUACGUCAUCAGGUUGUGCUCGGCGCCCUGUGACAAGGCGAAUAUGAGUUGUUCUUCCGCGGAAGAAUCCUCAUGUAAAGGGUACGACAAAAGCUUCUGCUUGAACCAACGCGUGAAACAUGAGUUGUGCUCUUUCAUUAUAUCUCCGUCCGUCCUCUGUUGGCCUCGGUCAUUGUACGUCUUCUCAAUAAAGGUUUUGUGCUCGACCACCCAAGGAUCGACCACGUCUAUCUGUUGUAGCGCGACUAGGUUUGCUCUUUCAAAGUCGGCGAGUCGACCCUCGAAGUCGACAUGCAUUUCACGGCGACCCUCACGGUGACCCCAUCCAGCGAGCCUGCCGAGGUGCCUGUUGAUGGGCAGACCAACGGGGUUCUCGAUGCCUAGAUAAUUCGUGCAGUAGGAGAUGCACUCUUCGGUCAAAAAGCCCCUGGCUAUGCUUCCCUCUGGACGUGACAUGUUGCGAACGUAUCCUUUGAUGACACCAUUCAUCCUUUCGAACGGCAUCAUGCUGUGCAGGAACGUCGGCCCGAGUUGGAUGAUAUUCUCCAUGAUAUGGACCAGCAGAUGCACCAUAAUGUCGAAGAAUGCGGGCGGGAAGUACAUCUCAAGCUCGCAAAGUAUCACCAAGAUCUCUUCCUGUAGCCUUCUGAGUUGCCUCACGCCAACCGACUUCCGAGAGAUGACGUCGAAAAAGUUGCAUAGGCCAAAUAGCGUUUCACGGGCGUGCGCGUCCAUGAUCCCACGGAUUGCAACUAGAAGUAUCUGCGUCAUCAGCACGUGACAGUCAUGAGACUUCAUCCCGCUGAACUUCUGCUUCGCUGAGUCUAGGUAUCUGCUUAUCUUCCCCGCGUAACCGUAAUGAAGUUUUACUCCUAUGAGGCAGGUGAAAAACUAAUCGAUCUCCUCCUGACUUAGAGUGAAGCACGUGGGAGGGAAGUCAUUUCCGGUCUUCUUGGCCUUUUUGCCUUUGCGAUGACUUUCCGUGUCCUGCUUCGCCUCAUCAUCAUCAUCAUUAGCGUGAAGCUCCUCCCUGAUGCCCAUUGAUUUCAAGUCUGCCCUUGCUUUCGGCCCAUCUUUGGUCCUCUCUGGCAUGUUGAGCAGGGUACCAAGCAGACUCUCGCACACGUUCUUCGUGAUAUGCAUGACAUCAAGGCUGUGAGGCACACGGUGGAUCUUCCAGUACGGCAAGUCCCAGAAAACAGACCUCGUUUUCCAUACCUUCAGCAGCGGCUCUUGCGCCUUUCGCUUCUUUCCCGGCUCUGGCGCCUUUUGCUUCUUUCCCGGCAGUGGGCAAUCUUUCCAAUUUUUCAACAGCUCGUCUAUUUCCUCGCCGCUCCUCGUACGCGGGCGUCUUCGGGGUUCGGUUUCACCAUGGGUCAUCGUCGCGAAGCCACCUUCGAUCUCCCAUGAACACGGUUCUCGAAGACCCAGGAUCUCUAUCUAGCUGGCGAUACGUUGUGUCAUCCAUGCACCUGACGCAUCCAGAAAAUCCGUGGACCACCUGCCCCGCGAGAUAUCCGUAACCGAGAUAGCCGUGCACCGUCGUGAGCAGUGCGGCUCUCAUAGGGAAAUAUUCUUUCUCUGCGGCGUCCCACGUAUUGGCUGGUGUUUUCCACAGCGUGUCUAGCUCCUCUUUCAACAGCCCCAGAUACAGAUUGAUGUCGUUCCCUGGUUGUUUCAGCCCUUCAAUUAGCAUACUCAUGUGAAUGUACUUCCUCUUCAUGCACAACCAGGGGGAAGGUUGUAUAUCCACACAAACACAGGCCAGGUGCUAUGUGUGCUUCUCUGGCUGCCAAACGGAUUGACUCCAUCGGUGCUCGCGCCCAGCACGAUGUUCCUUGGAUCAUUCCCAAAUUCUAGGUGUUCAAAGUUCAACGCUUGCCACUGGCUCCCAUCCUUAGGGUGACUCAGCAUCUUGUCUUUUUUAUUUAUCUCCGGAUCAUUUGCGUCAUCUUCUCGCUUCUUCGGCUCCCUAUCCGCGUGCCAACGCAAGAGCUUUGCUACCUUAGGGUCCACGAAAUACCGCUGCAGACGAGGAGUGAUCGGAAAGUACCACACCACUUUUCGAGGAGCUUUCUUCCUCUUCUUGUAUCGAGUGACGCCGCACACCGGACAUAUGGUAGACUCCGCGUGCUCGUCCCGAUAAAUGAUGCAAUUGUUCAUGCACACAUGGUAUUUCACGUGCGGUAAAUCCAGAGGACACACGAUUUUCUUCGCCUCCUCAAAACUGGUCGGGCACUUGUUCCCCUUGGGAAGACGUUCGUGCCAGAAUGACAUGUUCUCGUCGAAGCAUGCGUCGGUCAUUUUGUGUUUUACCUUCAUCUCCAGAGCCAUGAGCGUUACUUUCAGCCGGGUAUCCUCGAGCCUGCAUCCUUCACACAAUGGAGUAACCGCGUCUAUCUCCAGUUGAUCCAGCUUGGCUUUCUCUCGGGCGGCAGCUCUUGCAUUAUCCGUCUGCUUGAGAAGCAGCUCUUGAAUAUGAGGGUCCUGCACCUAGCCCAUCGAUGGUCCAUCGUCGUCUGCUCCGCCGGCAUCUUCAUCUUCAUGAUCAUGCCCUUCGUCUGCUCCGGCAUCUUCCUCAUCAUCAUGUCCAGCAUCUUCUACAUGACGACUAUGUACAUCAUCAUCGUCGUGAUCAUGUCCUGGAGAUUCUUCGACUUCUCGCCCGCCCGAGCCGCGGUGGUUGUCUUGCUGCCCUUCCUCAUUUCUUGCCCGGCCCCCAUGGACGACUUCAUAGUCAUCUUCAUCACCUUGCCACCGAUAGCCAUCCAUGAAACCACGCAAGAGCAGGUGGUCCCGCACCUGCCCCCGGAAUCCGGGUCCGCAAUAAGGCUCUUCAGCUUGCAUCUUCGACAUGGACAUCUUAUCUCCGUCUCGUUCUUUUGAAGCAUCUCGGCCUUCGCGGAGCUCAAAAACCUAUUCACGAUGCCUUCGGUCAUCGUGCGGACGAUGGUUGCCUGCGGGGUAGAGCAAAAUGAUAUUUUAGAACCAAGAAAAAAUUUGGCAUGACUUUCCCUAAAAAUAGGACCAAAAAGAAUGCAUAGUGCCAAAAUUCUCGUCGAAACGGAAAUGAAUCAACAUUCCGGCAAAAUAUUGGCAACUAUCGCAUUUCAAAUACCGGUACCUGCAAACACAAACAUAUAUGCAACACCACAAACAUACAUAGAUCUAGCUAGGCCAUAAAAAGUGCAUGUGCACGUUGUUUGAGGGAGAACAACAUAAAGAUAGCUUCCCCCUUACUUACCUAUCAAAAAAAGGUAAUUUAACCACUUAAUUUGGAUGAAUCUAUGGUGCAAAUGAGGUGAGGAGGAGGAGGCAGCCGAGACAAGCUUGGAGGAGGAGGUGGAGAGAAUGAAGUGGGGAAAGUGAGUGGGUAGGUGUGGCUGUCCAAAAUAUCUAGCUGGUCCCAGGUUACUAAUGGCGCACCACCUACAAAUGCGCCAUUAGUAACCCUGGUUACUAAUGGCGCACCUGCUGGUGGUGCGCCAUUAGUAGUUUUGCAAAAAAAUAAAAUAAAAAAUAUACACUAAUGGCGCACCAGGGUAGGGUGCGCCAUUAGUAGUUUUGCAAAAAAAUAGUAGUGGCGCACUAUGUGGCUGGUGCGCCAUUACUAGUUAGAACUAGUAAUGGCGCACUGUGCCCUGGUGCGCCAUUAGUAUGUUUGGAAAAAUAAAAAAUAAAAUUUUUUGUUACUAGUGGCGCACCGUGUGUCUGGUGCGCCAUUAGUGUCUUUCACACUAAUGGCGCACCAGCACAUGGUGCGCCACUGCUAUAUAGUAGUGGCGCACCACAUGUCUGGUGCGCCAUUAGUUGCCAUUUCAUCUAUAGCCCUUUUCCUAGUAGUGUAUCUACCAGCAAAGAAACCCCAAGAUCUACAAGGCUUGUAGUGAGCAUCCCUUUAUCCCAAAAAGAUUGACCAACUUCGCCAAUUGUAGUGUCAGCCACCUCAGUUUUAAAAGCAAUCAUGUCCCUGAAUUUUUUAUGAAAAACUGAAACAUAAGAUACUAAAAAAUAACAACAACAAAAAAGGGUAAAUACUUAUGAACAAAACAAUUUUGAAAAAGACAUAAUUCUUCUUCUUGUCCUUCCGAGCCCUCGUAACAGCAGUGUACAACUCAUUGUAUCUUUUCAGAAGAGCUGGAUCAAUGCUCGACGGUGUCACAACAGGAAGUUCAUCAUCUGUAAUAAAAAGAUGAAGUUCACUUAUCCAAAGAAUGAAGUUAAAAUAUUAAGAUAAGGAAAUUCUGCUAGCUAUUUUGAAAAUCACCAACAAAAGAUCAAGUUUCACUUAUCAUUAAACAUCUAAUAUAGCUACCAUAUUAAUUAAACAAAAUGAAUGAGAAAAACUUCAACUGCACUAUUUGAAACAAAACUCUUGCCUUCAGUGCCAGAGUCUUCAUGCUGUUGUUCUUCAAAGCUGACGAAUCCACCACAACCUCACUGGACUACCCUUCUGUAGCAACAUCAGCAUUCUCUGGAUUUACAACAGUCUGGUCAAGCGCAACAUCCUUAGAUACUUCAGCUACAUGAGGCUCCACUCCGAAUACAUCAGGAACAUCAUUGGCCGCCAGACAAACAGGAGAAGCAUCAACUCUACCAGCAGGAACGACAUUCUCCAGCGGCUUUUCAAUGCCAAAAUUAGAAUCUUCAUGCCGACUAGGGGAAACAUCAUCGUGGGAUUCCUGAGCUACAGAAGGAUCUGCACUGUCGACGACAACCGAUACAGAAUCAUCAACACUGCCACCACCCACAACAGCACAGUCCCCCUGGUUCAGAUCAACAUGAACUUCUAUGUUUUCAUCUACAGGCUGUGAAAAUUUAAAAAAAGACACAAUGACACAAAUGAGCGUGGGGAUAAUUAACACAACAACACACAGGUCACUUAUGUCAAAGAGUGCAGACAACAUACGCAAAACAACUGCAGUCCACAUAUGCAAAACAACUGCAACCCACAUGUGUCAAAACAACUACAACUGCAACCCACAUAUAUGUAAAAAGAACUGCACUUCACUUUGUCAAACACUGCAGUUCAGUUCUGUUAAAAUACUGAAGCUUACAUAUGUAAAAGACUAUGGACCACGCAUGCGAAAAGAACUACAGUUUACUUCUGUCAAAUACUGAAGCUCACACAUGUAAAACUAUUGCAGCUCACAUAUGUAAAAGAAAUGUAUAUGAGUGAACAGAACAGCGUACAUCAAGUUUAUAACAACAACAACAACAACAACAACAACAACAACAACAACAACAAAAAAUUAGAUUACAAGCCACUAACAGAAAAAGUAAUUCAACUAUACCUUAUCAGCUACAACAUCCGGAGGGGACGAUGCACCAGCCAAGUCCUCAUCCUUCCCAGAGCAAUCGUAGGAAUCUUUGUGCACAUCACAAGCAACAACUCCAGUCUAUAGGCAUAGAAUAAACCAGAAACGAAAAUAAGAUGGUAACGACCAAAAAAGAAAAAAACUUCAACUAUGCACAAGCAGUACACACUUUACAAUCGUGAAGUACACAGAACAUACAAUAAAAUGGAAAGCAAAAAAAAUGCAAGUUCAAGAAGAGAGACAUAUGGCGGAACAAACAUGGCAGAAGUACUUGUACUUGACCAAUUCCAUCGUCCCUAGAUCCAUGGACACCAGAAGAUUCCACUCCAGCCUAUCACAAAAAAAUAAAUAGUGAGGAGCAGUCGACAUAAUACACAAAAGAGGUUCGGAGGCACAAAAAACCUAGAACGUACAUUAUCAGCGUCGACGCCAGCGUCUUGACGGUUCAUUUCAUCCAAAAUAUGCUCAUCAUCCUUCUCAUACAGACUGCAUUUUUCUUCCUAUGAAUGUUUCAACUGAGCAUACGAAGACCAAAUACUCAUCACUGCAAUCUUCAGGCUUUCAACCACGCCGCAAUAAAAAUUGUGAGCAGCAACAAUACCUUCAUCUCGUGGGCCAUGGCCAACAGGGAAUAAACCAGCAACUGUCCUCAACCUGUCACCAGAGGUUGGCAAUCUUCAGUCAAAUUCAAAACCUUCAGAAGAAGCUCAUCAAUCUCCUCGUGUUUUUUGCCGCCAACAAAUGUCUAUUUAGAAGAGCUUCUAUUAUCAAACAUCCAACGAGCCAUGAAACCAUGAGUACGCGUCACCUCAUCAUCACAGGCAGGAAGCUGGCUACAGAUAGGCUCAUAAAACCUAGCAUGACUGCUAGGCCCCGCAUCAGAGCUGCCACAUAGAACUGCAGCAAGACGGUUGUGCACAAUAUCACAUGACGCCUUCCCGUGCAAAAAAAGACAAGAAGCGAAGAGAUGUACACAUGUGAGUACUAGAAAGUUUAGAUUUAUAAUGACUGCACCUUUUAAAAAAACUCUGAUAUUAAAAACACAAAUGCACUAACCGGCAGCUUCCCAAAUUUGUAAGUUUCCUAGUAAAUCUUUCCCUUCACAAGCAUAUCCUCGUUGUAUAACUUCAUCAGGUCCUUGGUUGUCAGGUAUGACGCACGUUGCGUCAACGUGUGCAUAACUUAAAAUCUGCGAAGCUUAUAGCAAUCAAGAUACAUAAUCAGGGGGACAAUAGCACAACCCUUUGCACAAUUCUGCUUGCUGCCUUCUGUUUGCCACCUCACCACAGCUGCCUGCAACUCAUCAACAACAAGCUGACAAAAGCCCAUCUGCGCCAUAGCCGCAUAAUCCAUGUUCUCUACCAUUGCAGCAGCCCUACCCAAACGAACUGCAGGCCCGGGGCACAACAAAUUCUGGUAAAGUAUCACGAAGAACAUCUUCACAUCAAGAUCAACAGUCACAUGAUCAUCUUCCUCCACCAACACCUUCAGCUUCUCAAGCAAGUCCUUCACACCUAUACUUUUUGAACGGUCAAAGCUAAGCUCAUCCUUGAGGGCAGUCAACGAGUCAUCAUGGCCGCUGGCAGCAGGCAUGGGAGCAGUGUGAUGUCCCAUAGGUAAAUCAAAACUGUGAUGAACUGCAUCACGAUUGAUUCGAAGAACCCUGCCAUUCCCAAAGUCCAUUAUCAUGGUGGCAGGGUCAAUCACUCCCAUCAGAUAGCACAUAAGAAUGCGCGACCCAUUUUUCUUUACUGUCGGUUCAAAGACAACACCGAAUCCAGCAUCCCGAACACGACUAAAGUGUGUGUCUUUCAAUAAAGCAGCAGCCUCGCAAACAGUGGGAAGCGACAAACGUACGGCCUUGUUAAAUCGAGAAUCAUCUCCUUCGGCAUCAUCUUCAGUUGCAUUGCUCUUACUAGACUUCUUCCUCUUUGUAAAGGGAAAUGCAGUCCAUAUUAGAAGAUUAGCCAUAAAGAAGUGACAGAGAAAACACAGAUAGAAUAACAAUGAAGGAAACAAAUGCAGUCAACUUCAACAAACCUUUGGAACAAUGUCCGCCUCCUCACCAGAGUCAGCACCAACAUCUUCAUCGCCAUCAUCAUGGGCACGCUUGGUUAGACACCUAGAUGAACCACAGUCUUUGCGUCUACCAGUAUGAACAUCCCUCACAAAAUCAGCAAGCACAAAGUCGUCAUCGUCAGAGUUGGGACCUUCACUGACAUGUAGUCGCUUGCGCUGAGGAUCCUUUCCACCAGCUUCAGCAGUUCUCUUACCAAGAUUCUUGUUCAUGCCAGCAACACGUGGACUCUGCCGAGGAGUACCACCUUCCUCAGCAACAGAACUCAACCUCUUCUUAUGCAAAGCAGGCUGCUUCACUUUGACAAAUUUGGCACCCUUGGCACCAUCUGCAGCUCUCCUCUACUUCUCCUUCUCCACACACUCUUUUGAGUGACUUUGAAACCUCAACUUCUUCUUGCUUUGCUUCAAUUCAUAUGCACGAAGCUGUUCCGAGACCAUCCACUCCCGUGUAACUUCCUCUGUACCAUCAACAGACUGUGAUUGUGUUUCAGACAAGACGGGACAUCUCUGGUCAAAGCUCACACCAACAUAACCCUCUGCAAAAUAAUGGUCAAUCAAUUGAGUAUCCUCCUCAAACCCAGGCGCCCCAACAUGGAAAAUAGACACUACGUCAAAAUGAAGUUUAACUAUGGUCGUUAAAAAGUGCACAAAAAGAACAAAUUCACUACACUUAGACAUAUAAAUGCAGUGCUCCAAUCAUAAGCUAAAUAAAAAUUAAUGCAUUGUGCAAAAAACUUUAAUAAAACAACAAUGCAGUUCACACAUACAUAUAGUGGAGUUCACAUAUACAUAUAAAUGCAGUGCUGCAUACACUAACUUCAUGUUUGUUCCCAACAAAAUGCUGGACUAGAUACAGCAAGGCAAUGCCAAUUUGUACAACAUCGAGUAAGCAACAUACACAAAAUAAACAAAAAAUUCACAUACCAGAACAAGGGGCCACACUUAUGGGAGAAGAUUCAAUUGGCAAAUUCAAUUGAUGUCCUCCCUCACCACCAUGAUCCUUACCACCAGGACAACGAGAGCCAAUUGGUGUAUCAUUAUGACCACUGCAAUCACCUACUGGAUUAAAAAAACCAGAAACAUAAAUUACAAAACAUCACAUGACAAAUAAUGCAGAGGAACGCUGACAAUUAACAUAGCAUAAACAAAUAUGUAGGAUGAAUUAGGAAACUAGAUAAACAUCAAACAGAAUAAACAAAGCCAAAAAUAAGCAGUCCACAUACCCUGAACUCUUCCUCCCACUCUGCUCGGCGAAGACACGGCGUUUGCCUGCAGCACAAGGGCGAAGUGAUAGAUAUAAGCAACAAAAUCGGCGAAAUAUGAUGAAACCCUAUAUGCACCUUGCUCUGCCUACAAAGCACACACGAGUAUCGACUUCAAAUAGAGAUAAAAUCGCCUGCUUACGGAAAAAAUACAUAAGCAAAAAACACAACAGCAACUACGAGAAUUACAAAACUAGACGAGGGUAUGAUCAAUAUCGAGGCCAAGGGGAACGUACCACAAAAAAGGGAUGAACAGUGUCGGGGGAAACGACACCUAUGGGAUCACGAGGAAUCCCUUUUGCUACGGUUGGCGGGCGCGGGGCUAGAGCGGGAUUGAGAGAUCAACGCAGGGGGAUUAUCCAGGUUCAGGCCGCAACUGAUGCGUAAUACCCUACUCCUGCUGGUUUCUGUUUAUCUGGUGUUCUUUGACUAGCUACAAGGCUUGCAGGGUCCAAAAAGUACGAAUCCUUCCUCAAUACGCCGCGGGCCUCCUUUUAUAGUCAAAAGGGGCUGCCACAGUGGCACACAGGAGAUGGAAAGAUGUUUAGUAGUCGAGUCUAUCUCCUGGCACCGUAGGACAAACGCAUUUAAUGCACCGCCGACGUGCCCUACUUGCUUUAUCGGGGACGGCAAGGAAGCUCGUCCCAGCUGUCGCCGCCUCGCCUGGCUUCGACGCACGUUCGAGCUGACGAGGCGUGUAGUGCCACGCUGGCUGGCUGGUUGAUGAUUUGGCAUGGUGGCAGAGUCUUCACGAAGAUCUGCAUGUCACUACGCAGGUGCUUGGUGAGUUGGCCUAGAGGCCGCAUGUCGCCAUGCAGGUGCUCGCCUAGUUGGUGGGCUGGCAGCUGCAUGGGAACGGCGGUGGAGUCUUGGCGGAUGCGGGCCUGGCUGCGGCCCCGCAGAUGUCUUCGGCAAGGGUCUUGCCGCGGCAUUGCGGGCGUCCUCAACAAGGGUCUUGCCGGGGUGUCUCGUGGGUAUCCUCGGCAAGGAUCUCGCCGAGGAUCUCCGUCUUCUGAUUCUCAUCUAAUCUUGCAUGUUCUUGGUCUUCCCAAAGAUCUGCAUGCCACCACGGAGGCGCCUCCCGAACUUUGGUUCCAAUGUGGUUGUGGGCGUCAGAACUCUCAGGCUCAAGGGUGGCAGCCCUGCUGGCGUUGGGCAAGUUGCCCCGACAAGGUUCUUGCCGGGACUGUGGAGGCCGCCCCAGCAAGGGUCUUGCUGGGGGAGUUCACCUCGCCCUUCUGCUCUUCAUGUUUCUGGCUUGGCGUCGCCCUGGUUGUCUUGUGGCUUUGCUUCCUUCCUCUGCCCUGCUAAGUGUGGCCGCAGGCGCGGCUCCAACUGCCCGUGCACAAGUAAAGGGGUACAAAAUAGGACCCCUCCUUUUGUGCACCGACAGGAGCCCCAGGGCCUGGGCCACACAUAAGCGCGACGCGUUGUUGGGCUAGGCCCAAAACGGUGCGCGGGUAUGCGGGGCCGAGUUUUUACUGCAGUAACUCCCUCGCUCGUUGCGCGUCCCCACGACCCGCGUUGAAUGCGCGACGUGGGGGGUCGCGCAUGACAUGGGGGUCAUGCGUGGGGCGGUUGCUGCCCUCAUGCGUCACAUCACAGUAAAGAGGCGGCUCGCGCCUUCCCCAUGAAAAGUGGAAAACGCAGGGGCGCGGCUCAUUUACUAAGUGGACUCGAGUCGUGGCCUUCGAGGCGCCCGUGCCCCAUGAUCACGGGGUGGAAAACAGUCGCCUCACUUGUCUCCUUGAUUUUGGCUUGCUCGCCACGUGUCCCCCAUGCCUCGAAGAUGGUAGGCGGUGGACGCGGGUGGCAUGGGCCGUCACUGGUUGGAGCAGUGGGUCGGUCUCGAUUCCCUGCGCCCCUGGCGGCCGGAUUGGUUAAGUGGGGUGGCCGAGCCUUGGUCUCGCACCUUUAUAAGAAGGGGAGGGGGAUGGCACCCCUCGAUCUUUCAUCAUUCAUCUCCAUCCACCUCGGCUCCUUCCUUCCUUCCGCUAUGGCGAGAGGGCGCGCCGGCACUCCGAUGGCGGCGACGAGGGUCUCUUCUCGAUAGUGCGCCCCUCCUUCCCAAGAGCUUGUGGCUGCGGAGCCGGCCGUGAGAGGAAGGGGGAGGGGGCGAGGCCGAGGCCGCCGUGGCGCUCGGGGAAGAGGAGGACUGGGCGGUGCACCGGCCUCGCCUCCGCCAGCGGAACCUCCCUCAAUGGAAGGCCACGUCGGAGACCAGCCCCGCGAGUUCGUCAUCAGGCUGCAACAGCUAGUGCGCCGUCGUCUUCGUCUCCCUACUUCAUUCGCUCGGGAGAUGGAGUUCGAUCCGCCACAGGCUUUGAGGCUGCAUAUGAGGGGCUACGGGAAUGGCAGCAUGCGGGUCGACGUCGACUUCCCUGCCCCUCAUGUCAUGUAUCUUCGUCGCGGAUGGAAGACCUUUGCUCAUGCCCACAGCCCGUCGGAGGGGCUCGUUCUCCACUUCAAAUUAAUGGAGAACGACCUACUCUCCGUCAAGGUCUUUGGGCACUUGGGAACUUGCCUAAGGUGUUUCCUGGAGAGCUCCUCCGAUGAGAAGACUACUCCUCGAGCGGGAGUGACGAGGAGGACAGCGACAGUGCCGACAAGGGCGUCAAGCGGGAGGACGCCGAACCUGACUCCGACUGACCGCGCCGCCCUCCUCCCUCAGCCACGCGCCCUGCCGAGGGUCUUCCUCCUCAAGCUCUCCAUUGGUGCGUUCCCCGUUGCCUCCUUUUUGCCUUCACCUGGCGCACCUGGGAGGAAAGAGGCAAGAACGGGGAUCACGAGGCACUUAUCAUUUUUAGUUUUUAAGCCCGCGGGCAUUUGUUAGAUUUAAACCUUGUAAUCCCCUUGCUCAUGUUUACAUUCUGUACGAACUGUACCUAUUUGGGGCGUAUUAAUGAAAAAGGGUGCUUGACGGGUUCUUUGUGCGUGAGCGAGGCCCAUGCCAAGGAAUGAAUCCUUGUUAUUUUUAAGAUAAACAUUGUCUCCCAGCAACAGGACUUGCCGUCCACUCACUUCAUUCACGACCAUACUAAAGGUCUCGGCGGAGGCAGGGGCGAAGUAGGGUUAGGCCCCUUGUUUGCUUCUGUGUCACUUCAACUACAACCAAGUUCCGGCCUAGGGAAUAGUUCUUGGACACAAGAAAGGGGGAGCACAGUGGCCCAGGAAUAAACGAGGCUUCAUACGUCCCAAUUCCAUAUGGAAAUGCAUAACAGGGGAUAAAGGACUUAUCUGAAUCUGCAGCCCCCGGCAACCUUUGCUUUCCGUGGUCAGGUGCUUGAAUCUGCAGCUCCCCGGCAAUGGCUUGCCGGGGUUGGCGUUGUCGAUCCAUUUCCCUGCUCUUAAAUGGCUUAGCAGAAACGCCCGUGCAGUCUGCGAGCCAAAGAAAAGACUGGAAAGGACGGAAAGACACACACCCGACCUCUAUGCUAGGGGUUAGUUUCCGCCGGGCACUAUCAACUCUACCAAAGAGAGACUUAACCUAGCAUGCAUGCUAAAACUUAGGGCACCAGCGCUUCAUUUAUUUAUGCUUAGGGUCUGUGCCUGGCUCUGUACAAAGGGUUACAUGCCUUGUCGGCAAGGCUCGUACAAAAGGUGGUUUGCUGGGAGGCCCGACAACCGCGCCUCAUGGGUAAAACUUGCGAAGAUGUUCGAUGUUCCAGGAGUUGCUCACUGGGAUACCAUCUCCGGUUUCCAGGUGGACUGCGCCAGGCCUGGUGACUCGUAUUACCCGAUAAGGGCCUUCCCACUUCAGCGUCAACUUGUUGGAAUUCUUGGCCGACUGAAUGUGCCGAAGAACAAGGUCGCCUUCCUCAAGACUUCGGGCAUGAACCUUGCGGCUAUGGUAGCGGCGCAAGGCUUGCUGGUAGCGUGCAGCUCGCACAACUGCCCGAAGACGAUCUUCCUAAAGGAGCGUCGUGUUAUCUUGCCGCAACUGCUCUUGCUCAAGCUCGUCAUAAGCAAGCACUCGAGGUGACCCGUAUGUGAGUUACGUGGGGAGAACUGCUUCUGCCCCGUAUACCAGGGCAAAGGGUGUCUGGCCGAUUGCUCGAUUUGGCGUUGUUCUGAUCGACCAAAGAACCGUCGGCAACUCAUCAAUCCAGCGCCUUCCACACUUGUGCAGCCUGUCAAAAGUCUUUGUCCUCAGGCUCCGUGGGUGUGCCACUGAAGCGAAAUAGACCUUGCUACCGAGGUCCUGGAUGUAUUGCAUGAAGGUGCGGCUUGUGAACUGCGUGCCGUUGUCGGUGAUGACCCUGUUCAGCACACCAAAAUGGCAAACUAGCCCCUUGAGGAACUUGAUGGCUGACUGUGCUUUCAGCUUCCUCACUGCCUCCACUUUGGGCCACAUUGUGAACUUGUCGAUUGCGACAUACAAGGACUCAAAGCCCCCGACAGCACGUGGGAAGGGGCCCAGUAUGUCGAGCCCCCAAACUGAAAAUGGCCAGGAGAGAGGGAUUGUUUGAAGGGCUUGAGCUGGUUGAUGAAGCUUCUUUGAAUGAAACUGACACGCUUCACACUUGGUUACUAGCAUAGCUGCAUCCUGGAUGGCUGUGGGCCAGAAGAAACCUUGCCGGAAUGCCUUGCCAGCAAGGGCCCUUGACCCUAUGUGGGAGCCACACAUACGUCCAUGUAUCUCUGCCAACAGCUCUAGUCCAUCCUCUUGAGGAAUGCACUUCAGUAUGACUCCGUUUGGCCUCCUUCUGUACAGGGUAUCAUCAACAAACUGGUACAUGUUGGACCGACGGGCUACUUUCUCUGCUUCUUCCUGCUCCUCGGGGAGCUCUCCUGUUUGGAGGAAACAGACGGUGGGCUGCACCCUUGCCAGUGCCUGGGGCUCGACGACAAGGACCAAGAGCACAUCUUCGGCCGCAGGGGAAGCUGCCUCUACGGUCAGGGCCUGGGGCCCCGUCGGAGGUAGUUGCCCCUCGGCAAGCUUGGGGUACCCGACAACCUCGUUGCCGGUGGCUCCUGGGAGCUCGGCGAGAAGGUACUUGCUGGGGCUUGUGUUCCUUUGCUUGUUCUGCCCUACUGAUGUUCUAUAGAUGGUUGUAUUAACUGAAGUACAAAGGUACCUGGUUCCACAGGCAACUUGAGGGCAGCGCGUUUCGACAGGUCAUCGGCAAUGUUGUUCUCUGCUCGGGGAACAUGUUCUGUCUGUAGGCCAUCGAAACGUUCUUCUAACUUCCUCAUUUCAUUCACGUAGGCCUCCAUCAACGGGCUCUGGUAAUCCUUGUUGACUUGCUUGACGACGAGCUGCGAAUCACCUCUGAUGAUGAGCUUCUUGAUUCUGAGGUCUGCCGCGAUCCUGAGACCGGCAAGCAACCCAUCAUACUCCGCCGUAUUGUUCGUUGAUUUCUCCCGGGGGAAGUGCAUCUGGAUUACAUACUUGAGGUGCUCUCUGGUGGGUGCGACGAGUAGCACGCCAGCACCAGCACCUUGGAGUGAGAAAGCUCCAUCAAAGUACAUAAUCCACUCACUGCUCGUCUCCCUGUCGAGAAGGGUGGUCUCUUGGAUCUCCUCGUCGGGCGUUGCGGUCCACUCUGCUAUGAACUCUGCCAAAGCUCGGCUCUUGAUCAUUGAGGUACUUCCAAACCUGAGGCCAAAGCUAGACAGCUCCAAUUCCCAAUCCACAAUCCUCCCUGUCGCAUCCGGGUUGUGCAAAAUCCGUUGCAAAGGGAGGCGGGUGACGACGGUGAUCUCGUGCCCUUGGAAAUAAUGGCGCAGCUUUCUCGAGGCCAUGAGGAGGCCGAAAAGCAGCUUCUACGUUCCAGAAUAUCUUGAGCUAGCCCCCUGCAAGAGGGAACUGACAAAAUACACUGGGUGCUGCACCAUCUUCUUCUUCUGUUCCACUUCACCCAUCCGCUCAGACUCUGCCUCGCCGGGGCCGGGCCUUGCCGGCGGUUCUGGUUUGCCGGCGUCAGGCCCUGCCGGGAGGACCCCGGCUCGCCAUCCGAUGGCUGUGCUGCAACUGCUGCUUCUCCCUCAAGUUCCCUCUGCGCCACCAGCGCAUCACUGACCACUUGAUUCAUUGCUGCAAAGUACAGUAGCAAUGGCUCCCGUGGUCUUGGCGCGACUAGUAUCGACGUGGAGGAGAGGUACCUCUUUAAAUCUUGCAGUGCUGCCUCUGCCUCCGGAGUCCAUUUUACUGGACCCGCCUUUUUCAAAACUUUGAAAAAGGGGAGGGCGCGCUUAGCAGAUUUGGAGAUGAACCUACUCAGGGCAGCAACGCAGCCGGCGAGCCUACAGACGUCUUUGACCCGUUUCGGCGCCUCAAUCUGCUCGAUCGCCUUUAUCUUGUCAGGAUUUGCUUCGAUUCCGUGUUGAGACACAAAGAACCCGAGAAGUUUGCCGGAGGGGACACCAAACACACACUUCUCUGGGUUGAGCUUGAGGUUGAUCUUGGGCAGAUUGGCGAAUGUUUCUUCUAUAUCUUGCACGAGCGUGGCCCUGUCCUUGGUUUCGACCACUAUGUCAUCCAUAUAAGCUUCCAUAUUUCUAUGUAGCUGGGGCUCAAAACCAAUCUGGACUACUCAGGCAAAUGUUGAAGCGCUCUUCAACCCGAAAGGCAUUCAUACAAAACAGUACGUACCACAUGGGGUGAUGAACGUGGUCUUCUCUUCGUCUUCCUUCAUCAUGAAGAUCUGGUGGUAUCCUGAGUAGGCAUCGAGGAAUGAUAGCAGGUCACACCCAGCAGUGGAGUCUAAAAUCUGGUCGAUGUGUGGCAGGGGAAAGGAUCCUUUGGACAUGCUUUAUUGAUGUUUGUGUAGUCAAUACACAGCCUCCAGUUCCCAUUUGCCUUACGCACCACCACCGGAUUGGCCAACCACGUGGGGUGGAGUACUCCUCUUACCAGGCCUCCCGCCUCCAACUUCCUGAUUUCUUCAAUGAUGAACUCUUGUUGCCCCAAAGCUUGCUUCCUGACCUUCUGCUUGACGGGCCGCGCGUGAGGACAGACAGCAAGAUGGUGCUCAAUCACCUCCCUGGGAACGCCGGGGAUGUCAGAUGCUUGCCAUGCAAAUACAUCGACAUUCGCCGGCAGGAAGGCGACGAGUGCGCUUUCCUAUUUGCUGUCGAGGGUGGAGCUUAUAGUGAAAGCCCCGCCCGUGCCGUCCUCCUUGACGGACACCUUCUUGGUUUCUGGUGGUGCAGCCUUGGACUUCUUUCUCUUGCCGGUGGAGCUCUCUGGCACGUCCUCAACGAGAGCAGAGCACUCCGAAGAGGUGCACUUGUCGGAGUGGGUGCAAGAGGUCUUGCCGGACUUCUUUCUUCCCGAGGCUUCAGCGGUAGGAGCAAGUGCCCUAACGGCAGCUGCUGCAAUUGCCUCUCGAUAGAGUUAGUCGGCACAGAUGAGCGCAUCUUUCUUGUCGGAGGGGACGGUGAUGAUGGUCAGCGGCCCCGGCAUCUUCAAUGUGUUGUAGGCGUAGUGUGACGCCGCCAUGAACUUGGCCAGCGCUGGGCGGCCAAGGACCCCGUCGUACGACAGGGGGAUCUCGGCAACAUCAAAAACAAUCUUCUCCGUCCUGAAGUUCAGCUCACCCCCGAAUGUAACGGGCAGCGUGAUUUUACCUUUCGGCUGACUCCUUCCCAGGUUGACCCCUUGGAAUGUGCCCGUCUCGUCGAGAUCUCCAUCAGGAAUCUGCAGCUUCUUGAUCACAGCGGGCGAGAUGAAAUUCAGACCGGCCCCACACUCAACCAGCACUUUGGUCACCUUGAGGUUGCGUAUUGUUGGUGAAACCAACAAUGGCAAACACCCGAUCGCAGUUGUGUGAUUAGGGUGGUCCUCGGUGUCAAAAACGAUGGGCGUGCGGGACCACUUCAGGGGCUUAUGGGCAUCGAAUGACGGCUCUACCGUAGUGACCUCACGCGCACACUGCUUCAGCUGGCAGUGUGAGGUGUGCAAUGAGGCGCCACCAUCGACGCACAUGGCCUCUAUAGCCUUCUGGAACUCGUGCUCGCCGGACUCGUCGUCCUCGUCCUGAUCAUCAUCUUCCUCUUUCUUGUCGCAGCCCUGAGCGGGCCUCUCUUGUUGGUUAUCUUUGCCGCAGCGACCCCCUUGGCCGCCACGCUUCUUGCCGGAUCCCUCAGCACCAUCCUGGCCCUUCUCCUUGUCUUGCCUUUCAUAUUCAGCCUUUUGCUUUUCCGCAAGCAGCUCAACCUGUCGGCAGUUUUGGAGGUCAUGGCCUUUGGUGCGGUGAAUCCUGCAGUACUGCUUGUCGGAGCCUCCUGGCUUGCCGGCGGCCCCAAGGCCAAGCAGGCGGCACACCCGGCAACCUCCUUGCCGGGGUCGUCAGCCUUGGCCUUUUUAGCGUCGCCGAGCUCGCCGGAUCCCUCAACGGCAAGCACAGUCUUGCCCUUGCUCUUCCUGUUGCGGCGCCAGCCCUUGUUUGUCGGGGCAGCGGUGUCUUUGUCUAUGGAGUCGGUUUCCGAACCGGCGUCCUCGCCGGUGUACUUCCUCCCCUCUUCAUCUCGAGCACAUCUACCCGCCAGAACAUAAAGUUCGGCCACAUCCUUGACCUUGUUCAUCGCCAACUCUUCACGCAUCUUGCGGUUGCGCACAUUCUGAUGGAAUGCACUGAUAACGGCGGAGGGAUGAACAUUUGGGAUGUUGUAUUGCACCCGGCUGAACAUCUGUAUGUACUUGCGCAGGUUUUCACCUUCUUUCUGGGGGAUGAUGUGCAAAUCGCUUGCCUGGCCAUGAGCUUGGUGGCCUCCAGUGAAGGCACCAAAAAACUCAUGACACAAAUCCGACCAUGAAGAAAUGGAAUCCACUGGCAAGUGCAUCAACCAUGACAUGAUGUUGGGUUUGAGUGCCAACGGGAAGUAAUUGGCAAGCACCUUGUCAUUGCGAGCUCCAGCAGCUUGCAUCGCGAUGGUGUAGAUGCUGAGGAACUCCAACGGGUGGGUCUUGUCGUUGUACUUCUCACCAACAUCGGGCUUGAACGUGCUGUGGGAGGGCCACUGGACUGUAAGUGCAUCUAGUGCCCCUUAGUUAUUUUGGUGUAUUGAAGACUUAUAGGUUAAGAGACUAAUGUGUUUAUGAAUGUACACAUGACUAUAAGUCUAUGAGGAGUUUGAUAUUUACAGAGAAAGUCGACCCCUAAAAAUGAAUGUCUUCGACUGAAGACUUUGGAUUUCUGAAGACUUUCUGAAGUCUUUGAAAGUGAAGAAAUUGGUCUGACCUUGAAGACUUAGCAUUCAUUCGAGGAACAGCAAGCGUGAAGACUUUUGUUUUCGUAGUUUCAUUUUCUCUUUCUUGAGUCAUAGGAAACACUGUACUGUUAAAGGGGGUCGAGGAAAUACGAAGGAAAAAUUUCCAAGUGAUGCUCAACUCAAAUCCUACACCUACCAAUCCCUUCGAGUGAAGCCAUUGGAAAUCUCAUACAGCUCAGUCAAUUUUUUCAGUGACAGAGACGAAGUUCUUCUGGUCUAUAAGGAAUUUGUUCUGACUGAGGAGUUAGGAAUUCGCCAGUGCGGAUUGCCUACACAGUGAGGAACAUGAUAGCCCCGAGGAAUUUGAUACUCAAAAUUCCGACCGUUGCUGUGCUAUGCGCCAGCUGUCCCAAAAUAUCUACCCACCAAACAGUCAUAUCAUUGAAGGGCAUUUAUGUCUUAUCAUGUCGGGCUGCUCCCUAGGCUAUAAAUAGCCGCCCCCUACAACCACUAGCUGGUUGGCUGCUCCGAGAGAAACUGACACUUGUCAUUUGAGAGCAUACCAUCCUCCGAGGACUUUGAGCGAAAAUCAUCAAGUGAGGAAAACCCAAACCCAAACACCUACAAACCCAAAGUGAUUGAGCAUCACUGAAGAGAUUGAUCCUGCGUGGAUCCGACGCUUGUUACCUUUGAAGACUGUGCAUCUUCCAGACGGUUAGGCGUCAUGGUCUAGAGCAUCUAAGAGGAAAUUGUGGAUCGCCGAGUGACCGAGUUUGUGAAGGUUUGGAAGUCACCUGAAAACUUACCAUGAGUGAUUGGGCGAGGUCUGUGUGACCUUAGCUCAAGGAGAAUACGGUGAGCACUGUGUGUCCGGGACUGUGUGUCCUAAGGUUUAAAUACCUAGCCACUCCAACCAGACGUACAACUGUCACAACAGAUGGAACUGGUCUACCAAAUCAUUGUCUUCACCAAGCCAACUGGUUCUAUUUCCUCAACUCUUCCAUUUCCUGAUUACAGUUGUUGUGUGCUUGUUCAUAUGUGUUUGAAGACUUUGACUGAAGACUUUCUCAAUCCCCUCAGUUCAAUUUCUUCAGUCUGUUUGUCUUCAUCCAGUGUUAUCCUGUGUUUACGCUUUCUGUACUCUGUGUUUGCUUUCAUUUCAUCAUGAUGAUCAUGUUUAUGUUCUACCAUGUUCUACUUCCUCACCCGCAAAUUCCUCAGUGAAGAAUUCUAAAAAAUCACCUAUUCACCCCCUCUAGUCGAUAUAACGCACUUUCAAUUGGUAUCAGAGCAAGGUACUCCCUUGUUCUGUGUGAUUUUAGUUUAACCGCUUGGAGUUAUAGUUAUGUCGACCACAGGUAUGAUCAAGGUCUCUACUGGGUGUCCUACCUUCGAUGGGACGGACUACCCCUACUGGAAGAAUAAGAUGCGAAUGCAUCUUGAGGCAAUUGAUAACGAUCUCUGGUAUGUUGUGGAAAAUGGUGUUCGCUCAGUCACACCUUCUGUGAACGCUGCUGAUGUGAAGAGAUUCAAGCAACUCGAUUCCCAAGCGAAGAACAUCAUAUGUGGCCAUCUGAGCAAAGGGCAGUAUGGAAGAGUGAGUGCUUUGGAAAUGGCUAAGCUUAUCUGGGAUAGGUUGUCCAAGGUCAAUGAAGGAGUCUCAACACAACGUGACUCUCGAGUUGACGUUCUUCACAAUCUCUUCAACCACUUCAAAAGACUCGACAAUGAAAAUGUUCAGCAAACCUUCGAUCUCCUCACUGACAUCUCAAAUGAGCUUCAAGCACUUGGUGCCACUGACAUCACCGACCAUGAGGUGGUGAAGAAAUUGCUGAGAUCGCUUGAUUCUUCAUUUGAUACUCUGGCACUGAUGAUUCAAGAACAUGGAGAUUACAAGUCACUUGAUCCCGCCGAUAUCCUCGAGAGGCUAAACACUCAUGAGUUCCAGCUUGCUGAGAAGAAAGAUCUCUAUGGUUUGAGCUAUGGCAGAUCAUGUGCCCUGAAGGCCAAGGCUGUCUCUGAAUCUGAAGGUGAAGAUUCUGGUAGUAGCCUUGGUGAUCCUGAAGAACUGAGCCAGGAGCUAGCACUGCUCGUGAAGAAAUUCCAGAAGUUCUCAAGACGUGGCCGUUUUGGAAAAUCCUCAAGGAGUAAUGAUUCCUCAUCCAAUGACUAGAAGAAGAGACUAUGCCACAAAUGCAAGAAACCUGGUCACUACAUUCAAGACUGUCCUCAGUGGGAAAAGGAAUCAAAGAAGAAGAAAUAAAGGAUUACAGUUCUGAUGACUCAAAGAAGAAGAAGAAAUCUUCAAAGUCUUCAUCAUCAAAAUCCUCGAAGUCUUCAUCUCACGAGAAGAGCAGCUCCAAGAAGGCUCGGGCAUUCAUUGGCAAGGAAAUGGACUUUGAGGCUGAAUCUGAGGAACAUGAGGAAGAGGAGGGAUUUGAGGAGUCCGAGUCUGGUGUGGCGAGCCUAGCUCUCGCUACUGCAUUUGUCAGCAAGUCCAUCUUCAACUCUGAAGAAAAUGGCUUCACCAACAAGGCUGAUGAAGGCAAUGAUGACUAUGCUCCCACCUAUUGCUUCAUGGCAAAGGGUGCCAAGGUACUCAAAUACCCCUCCUCUGAAUCAAGUGAGGAUGAAUCUGAUGAAAACCUCAAGCCUAGCUACUCUAAACUUGCUAAGAUUGCUGUGAAACAACAAAAGGCUUUUGAAAAGGUUCAAAACAUGCUGACAAAAGUGAUGACAUGUUGGGUGAAGAAAUGGAUCGCACUAAAACCUUGACUGAAAAUCUUCAGAGACUUCAGUCUAAGUUUGACAACCUUCAAAGUCAUCAUAACACUCUCUUAUCUGAUCAUGAGAAGCUUUCUUAUGAAUUUCUUCAAAGAAAGAAAAAUCUUGAAAAGCUAAGGGUAAGUUAUGAAGAUCUUCAGAAGGAGCACGAUUCAUUACUUGCUCAACAAAUAAGCGCUACUCAGGAAGAAUUUGUUCCUCCAUGUUUGAAGUGCAUUGAACGUGAAUCUACUAAUUCUUCACCUGAAUGUUCAAAUGCAUCUAAUGUUACAAAUUCUUCACCUGUCUCUGCUAUCACUAAUUUCUCAUCUGAGGACAUUGCUAGUAUCACUGAUAAUGCAGGGCUGAAGGAAUUGUACAUGAAAGGCAUGUACAAAAGCCUCAAAGGGCAUCAGGCUCUUUGUGAUGUGCUUAAAAAACAGAUCCUCAACAGGAACCCUAGAAAAGAGGGUAUUGCCUUUGAGAGGAAAAUCAAUGCUGGUGGGACAUACUGGAAGCCUGAGCAGUAUCCCAAAACAUCAUGGGUUGCUGCAAAGGGAGCUCCAGUAGAUCCAUCCACUUUAUCUGGCUUCACAUAUGAAUCUCCUCAUUCUGCUGACGAGUCAUUUGACUCCAACUAUAAACUGUUCAAAAAUCAGAAUGGUGAAGUAUUUGCUAGAUAUGUUGGCACUAACUACAGGAAUGGGUCUCCUAUGAAGAAAAUCUAGGUUCCCAAAAGGUGCCUUGAAAGUCUUCAGGUGAAUGUCCUCAUGACACCACCUGUGAAGAAUAGGAACCCCAGAUGAAAUUUUCAUAUGGACCAAAUUCUUCAUAUGGAUCCAAGUCCUCAUACGGACCAAAUUCCUCACGUGGAUCAAAUUCCUCAAGAGGAUCGAAGUCCUCAUAUGAACAUCAUCGUGCUAAUACUUCUAUUUCCGAGGGAAGAUCUAAGGGCUAUGAAUAUGAGCAUUAUUCUUCUAACCAUUAUGUUCAUAAGUCCUCGAAGAAUUUCUCUGCUUAUUCAUAUGCUUACCCUAACUCCUCUUAUGUGAAACGAAGUGCACUGGCUUCUAUGCCGCCUUUCUCGUAUGGAGCUCGCAGAGUGAUGAACUCUUUGCCACCCCUUCAGAUGUGGGUGGUGAAGAAAAAGAACUAAUUUCUUAUGCAGGGUCAGGUCUCCAGACGUGCUUAAACGUCUGAAGAAUUUGUUGGAGACCUGAAUUUGCCUGAAAGGACGCAGGCUAAUCAUGAAGAAAUGAAUCCUCAUUUCUCACGUCCUAAUACUGCUUUAUCUGUUCUAUUGCUUGAUGAAAUUGGUCUGAUGAAUUUGAUAUCAUAUUCUUCACUGAUGAAGUAUAUGAGUUCGUAAGCUGCACUAAUUCAUCUGUAGGAUGAUCAACACAAAGCCAAUGAGUGGGUCCUCGAUAGUGGAUGUACAAAUCACAUGACUGGUGACAAGAAUCUAUUGAUGGAUGUUCCCUUAUAUCCAUCGCAUCUGAAGCAUAUCAUCUUCGCUGACAAAGGUAAAAGUCAGGUAUUGGGUCUAGGUAAGGUUGCGAUCUCAAAGGAUCGACACAUGGACAAAGUCAUGCUUGUCGAGUCCUUAGGAUACAACCUCAUGUCUGUCUCAAUGCUUUGUGAUCUUGAUAUGGUUGUUGUCUUUGGCAAGUAUCAUUGUGUUGUGAUCAUGGAAGCUGACAGUUCCAAAGUCUUUGAAGGCUUUAGGAGAGGAGAUUUGUAUAUUGUUGAUUUCUCCACAGGACCUCAACCAGUUGUAUGUCUACUUGCAAAAGCUUCAGAAGGCUGGCUAUGGCAUCAACGACUUGGUCAUGCCGGCAUGAGGAAUUUGCACACGCUCGCGUAGAAGAAGCAUGUCAUUGGCAUUGAGAAUGUCAAAUUCCUCAAGGAUCAUUUGUGUGGAGCUUGCGAAGCUGGAAAGAUGACCAAGGCCAAACAUCCAGCGAAGACUAUCAUGACUACCACUCGACCAUUUGAAUUGCUUCACAUGGAUCUCUUUGGUCCUAAUCGUUAUUCAGUAGUUACAAAUGAUGCAUCUCUAUAUGGCUUUGUUAUUGUUGAUGAUUAUUCUCGUUACACAUGGGUGCAUAUUGUCACUUACAAACAUGAGGUGCAGGAAGUCUUCAAACGAUUUUCCUCGAGGGCUUCAACCAACUUUCGUGUGAAGAUCAAGCACAUCAGAAGUGACAAUGGAACUGAGUUCAAGAAUUCUGGUCUUGAUGACUAUCUUGAUGAACUUGGUAUUACUCAUGAGUUAUCUGCUCCUUACAGUCCUUAGCAGAAUGGCGUCCUGGAGCGCAAGAAUAGGACUCUUGUUGAGAUGGCUCGCACUAUGCUUGAUGAGUACAAGACGCCUCGUCGUUUCUGGAUUGAGGCAAUUGAUACUGCGUGCCACAUCGUCAACAGGGUAUAUCUUCACAAAUUCUUCAAGAAGACUAUGUACGAACUCCUCACUGACAAGAAACCCAAUGUGAGUUAUUUCAAAGUCUUCGGUGCUAAAUGUUGGAUUACAGAUCCCCAUCACAACUCUAAAUUUGCACCGAAAGCACAUGAGGGUUUUAUGCUUGGUUACGGAAAGGACUCGCACACCUACAGAGUCUUCAACAACGUUCACCACAAAGUUGUUGAAACUGUAGAUGUGCGGUUCGAUGAAACUAAUGGCUCACAAAGAGAUCACCUACCUUCUGUGUUAGAUGAACAGUCACCUGAGGAAACUAUCAAGUUCAAGGCUAAUGAGGAUGUCAUUCCUACUGAAGAAUCUGUUGAAGAAAUCAUUCCAGAACGUGAAGAACGUCAUGCUGAUGCACCUGAAGAAAAUGGUGCUGAAGAAAAUGCUGAUGAAAUUCCUCAACGACAACGCGCUCAUCCUCGCGUUGCAAACGAAGUGCAUAUUGAGAAAAUUAUCAGCGACAUCAACAUUCCAGGUCCUCUCACACGCUCAAAAGCUUCACAUUUGUCUAACUUUUGUGGGCGCUUUGCUUUCGUCUCUAUCACAGAGCCCACUAAGGUAGAUGAAGCAUUUCUGGAGCUAAGUGGAUUCAAGCUAUGCAAGAAGAAUUACAUCAGUUCGAGCUCAACAACGUCUGGGAACAGGUCAAACGUCCAGAUCCUCGCAAGCACAAUAUCAUCGGCACAAAGUGGAUCUACCGCAACAAGCAAGAUGAAAAUGGCCUUGUGGUGAGGAAUAAGGCACGACUUGUAGCACAAGGCUACACACAAGUUGAAGGAAUUGAUUUCGAUGAAACUUUUGCACCUGUUGCUAGACUUGAGGUUAUUCGCAUAUUACUUGCUUAUGCUAACCAUCAUGAUAUCACUUUAUAUAAAAUGGAUGUGAAAAGUGCAUUCCUCAAUGGUAAGCUUGAGGAAGAAGUAUAUGUUGCUCAACCCCCAGGUUUUGAAUAUCCAAAGCAUCCUGACAAAGUCAUCAGACUUAAUAAGGCCCUCUAUGGCCUCAAGCAGGCCCCUCGGGCGUGGUAUGAUACUUUGAAGGAAUUCCUCAUGAAGGAAGGCUGCAAACCAGUUCACUUGACCCAACUCUUUUCACUAAAUCUUAUGAUGGUUAAUUGUUUAUGUGCCAAAUUUAUGUUGAUGAUAUCAUUUUUGGCUGUACUGACCAAUGUUACAGUGAUGAAUUUGCCUAUAUGAUGUGUGAAGAAUAUCAAAUGUCUAUGAUGGGAGAAUUGAAAUUCUUCUUAGGUCUUCAAAUUCUUCAAUAGCGCAAUGGCAUAUUCAUAUCUCAGGAGAAAUACCUCAAGGAUGUACUGAGGAAAUUCGGCAUGCAAGAUUGCGAUGGCGUCAAAAUCCCUAUGCCCACCAAUGGCCAUCUAUGCACUGAUGAAAACGGUAUUGACUUUGAUCAAAAGGUAUACCGCUCCAUAAUUGGCUCUUUAUUGUAUUUAUGUGCAUCUAGGCCCAACAUUAUGCUUAGUGUUUGCAUGUGUGCCAGAUUUCAAGCUACACCGAAGGAAUCACAUCAUAAGGCUGUGAAGCAUAUUCUUCGAUAUCUAGCUCACACACCAACACUUGGAUUAUGGUACUCCAAGGGCUCAGCUUUUGAUCUCAUUGGAUAUUCAGACUUUGACUAUGCUGGUGAUCGUGUGGACCGCAAGUCAACAUCAGGCACAUGCCAUUUCCUCGGACGAUCUUUGGUGUGUUGGUCCUUGAAGAAACAGAACUGCGUAUCACUAUCUACUGCUGAAGCUGAGUACAUUGCUGCUGGUUCUUGCUGUGCUCAAUUGCUGUGGAUGAAGCAAAAUCUCAAGGACUACGGCGUCAACAUGAAGAAUGUGCCUCUCUACUACGACAAUGAGAGUGCCAUCAAGAUUUCUCAUAACCCAAUUCAGCACUUGAAGACAAAGCACAUUCAGAUUCAUCAUCAUUUUCUUCGCGAUCAUGUGUGGAAGGGCGACAUCUCUAUUGAGCAUGCGAGGACUGAAGAACAGCUAGCCGGUAUAUUCACAAAGCCCUUGGAUUAGAAGAGAUUUAGCAAGUUGCGGUGUGAGCUAAAUAUCCUAGAAUCUUCGAAUGUUCUUUGAAAAGGACACUCAUCCUAACACUUAUGAAAAAUUGAUGACUUAGAUGUGCAACACGCGAAGAAAUGUUUUUAUUCAAUCAAUGAAGACUAACACUCUAAGUGUGAAGAAAUUAACAAAGAAUUUGAUUCUCAGAACCCUACGACAAUUGUACGUGGUGUCUGAAAUCAUCAUUCUUAUACGGUGGGUCACGCCACCACCAAAAGUUGAAAAUCUUCAAUUUGAGUUUUUCCUCAGUUUUGAAAUUCCUCAGUUGUUCAAUUUCUUCAACUUUGCAAUGUCUUCACCAUUUCCGUCAUUUUUCUUCAUUGGCUAUAUAUAUAUAUAUGAGUUUAUGUCCUCUACAACUUUCACUUAUUGCUAUUUCUUCAAGUUGUCUUUUCUACUAAGUGAAUGUGAUCGGACCCUUCCCCCUCUAUGCGAAACUCAACCUAGUCUAUUCACAAAUUCUUCAUGUGCGUUCUAUUUGAAACUCGUUCAAAAUCUUCACUGUGUCCUUGUCAGCUAAAGAAUUUGCGAACGGAACUUUAAACCUUAUCUUAUCUGAAUUUUCGGCGUUUGCCGCUCAAACUGUUCCACAUUCCACAAUAAUACUUAUCUAUUCACCCACGAUCUCACACGAUCGCCACCUCUCAGUACGUGGGUGACACAUGUCAAGCGAAUGAGAAGGGUCAGGGGCACGUUCGUCCAAUUUCUUCGGACGAGUGGUUUUUCACUUCGGCUAUUAAUACCCCUCCCCUUCCUCACUUCGUUUUUACUCCGCUCGACCUCUCUCCCGCUCGAGCUUCUCAAAACCUAGCGCCGCCGCUACUUCAUCAUCGCCGGUGAGGAAGAGCUUCAUUGCCUCGACCUCGUCACCGUCGUGCUCGCGCCGGCUACAGAUUUCUCCACUCCUCCGCCGCCGUAGCUGUCUUCCUCUACCAAGUUAGGGCGUGGAAGAUCUGAACCAAUGAGCCUCACAUCUACACUUCCCAUUUCAUCGUGUUCUCCUUCCAGGGUAAUUAAAAGUUACUUUUACUUCCCUCUUUAAUUCAAAUAUUUUCUACAAAAUCUUCAAAAGGUGUUUAUACUUCAAAUCUUCACACACUAAACACCUCACAUGUCAUCUGUUCUUGAUCCUUUUCUCUAAGCAACAUUUUUCUUCAAGAUUCCUCAAUUGUGUGGAUUUUCAAUCUGUACAACUCUGGAACCUAAGACAAAGAACGCUUAGUGAAAUUCUUCAAGGCUCAUCUGGUCAAAUUGCUCAAACUUGUUCUUAUUGCAAAACCUUCCGAGAACGCAUAUGACCUCUCCAAAUUUCCUCGCAACUAUACUCUGUUCACAGGUACACAUGUCCGCUGCUGAAUCACUAGGUUCUCAUCAGCUUAACUCAUUUGCAGCGUUCCUUGAAGAAAAGUUGCACACCUCUUCAGAGAAUUCCAUUGCUCAAAUUCCUCAGCUGAAGAAAAUGGCUGACGGUAAGAAGCUUCAUAAGGGAGGAAAGAGGCCUGAGAUCAAUACUGCUUUCGAGAUUCCUGAUGACAUAUACAAGGAUUAUUGCACUCCUGAUGAGGCCAAAUUUGGCAAGGAGGACAAAAAUCAGCGCAAGGUGCGCAUACAAAGGAUAGAGAGGAGAUGGGCACGGGAAUGGAGGGAGUACAGAUAUGUUACUCCCAAGUAUAUGAAGAAAUUUGCUCUUAAUCCUCCAUGCCCAAGACCUCCAUUGGCACCUGGCCAAGAAGCUGAUCCCACCAGCCUCAAGCAUGGUGAGGACUAUCCUGAUGAAUGGGCCAAGCGCCAGGCCAAGCUAGCCAAAAUGGCUAAGGAAGCAGUGAGGAAAUUUAAUGAAGACUCUGCUGCUGCUGCCACCACAGCUGAGGCCUCUGCAAGCAAGCCAAAGAAGGCCACGGCAAAGAAGCCUGCUCAUAAGCCAAGUGCUUCACUCCCAAUGCCCUCACGGCCAAGUUCCUUAGCAAUGCCCUCACGGCCAGAUUCUUCAAAGCCCUCAUGGCCAAUUCCUCAAGCUACUCCAACUCCUCCAAAGUCCUCAGCUCCUCCGUCAAAAUCCUCAGCACCUGUGCAUCUCGCCACGUGCCAAAGGACAACAGGCAUCUCUAUUGCCUUAGGAGCUUCUGCUAGUUCUUCAGCUCCACCCAAUUCAUCAACUGGCCCCUCUCUGCUGAAGAAAAAGGCCACUGCUGGACGAGGCUCUCGACCAAGUCCUCACAAGAAGCAGGUCGCCUUUCAAGUGCCGUCUGAUGAAGACGAAGCUGAUCAUCAGGGACAGGCAACUCAGGGCUGCUAGAGCCAAAGGCACAAAUGUGCAUCUUCUUUUGGAUCCAAAAUUGAUCCUUGAUUACAUUGAUCUCUGGCACAAGGACCCCAACACUCCUAUGCCUGACUUCAAAUUGACUCCUGGCCAAAGUCAUAUGUUGACUGCCUUCAUUCAGGAAGAAAAAAAGAAAUUUGAAAAGGCCAUGCAGUUGAAGAAAGCGCAGUACAAGAAGGAGCGCUUCCUGAAGAAAAACGUUGUCUCUAUGACAACUGAAGAACUUGUCACUACUCAAUCUGAGAUCAAGAAACUCAGUGAUGAAUUUGACACUUACCGCGCUGAUUGGCUGGGAGCCAAGGUCCAAAUUCACUUCCAAUGUUGCAGCCCCAACGCAACAAGAAAAUCCUCAGGCUGAGGCAUCUGCUCAGCCGACUGAAGAAAAUGCCAGCACUGCCAAUGAAAAUCAGGCUGCUGAAGAACUCAGAGUAUCAGGGCUGAUGACUGCAUUCCAGCCGCUGAAGAAAUUGCCAGGGCAACCACUAGUGUUGCACCUGAAGAAACUGAAGAAGUCAGGGCAACUGCAUUAGUUGUGCCUGAAGUAAUUGAACCAAAUUCCUCUGCUCCUCCUGCACCUACCCCAACUCCAAUCCUUCCGUGUACAUCAGAUGUGAAGAAGACCAAGGCUGCAAAGCGUGCAACGGUGAAGAAAAGGAAAGCAUCAACUUCAUCAGAUUCUUCAGCUCCGAAGAAGAUGAAGCCAUUGACCAGCUCUUUUGAGAAUCCAAUUGAUGCUAUUCCGGUCUCAUCCAUGCCAUCAAAGGACAUUGUUCCUUUUGAUGAAGAAUAUGUGAUCCCAAGUGGAUCAGAUGAAGAGAUUCCUUCUGCUGCUUCGUCAGAGCAGUUGGAUGAAGAAAUUGAAGCGGAUGCGGUCCCUUCAACCCCAAUAGUCUCAUCGCCCAUGCCUCAGUUCACUGCUGAAGAGGCCGGUGUUGAAGAAAAUAGUGAAGAAGAAGAUGUAGACAUUGGGUGCACAACUCCAGUGUUGAACGAUGACUUUUGGGAAAGUCAGCACCCCAAUUCUCCUCUGUUCACACCUCUGCGACAAAUUCCUCAGUGCCCUGUGAAUACUGAAGUACAGAUGGGAUCUGAAGAACCUCAUGCCAAACCAUCUGUCCAUGAAGAGAUUCCAGCCACUAGUGCUGAAGAAAAUGUUAAUGAAGAAUUGAAGACCCAGGCUGUCACUGAAGAAGAAGCUGGAAUUCCUCAGCCAGUGGAUCCUGAGAUUGCGAUUCCUGAGGUGGUGAUGCAAUUGACCGAUACCCCUCAGCCCAAGCCAAAGGAUCCCUUCUCAAAGAAGCAGAAAUUCAAGGCUGAUGACUUCUUCGGCGAGCAUGUGUUCUUCACAGACUAUAAUCCUUAUGACUCUGCUCGUCUUAGAAGGAAGCGCUUCUGGACUGCUAGCCAAGAAUUUUUUUAUUCUUCACUGCUCUCCAACAAGGACAAAGUCUUCGACCAUGAGCAUAUUCCUCACGUGGACAUGGAAUCACUGCCUUGCUUCACCCCGGUCCUUAGUGUGCUUCAUGAUGCAGGACUGCUCAACUUUUGCACGGAUAUUUGCGAUUGGAAUGAAGAGCUCAUUCUUCAAUUCUAUGCAACUCUGCAUAUCACAGGCGAUGCUGAUGAUGUGAACUCUUGGGUUUUGGACGAGAUGACCGAUAAUACCCACUAUAAAGCACCGUCCUCUGAAUUACUUCAUGCCCUGCCAAUCAGUCCUCCCCUUGAAGGACCUCGUUGCCUGUACCAUGAGCCUGAACUCACUGCCCAUUACGUGCAAGUGCUAAUGAAGCCUUUGAAGCCCGGUCAAGCCCCAAGGACCAAAUUCCUCAUGAAGGAAUUGCUAUAUGUGCCAAGAACAGUUUAUCGCAUUCUGACAAAGACUUUGAGUCCUAUCAAAGGCCACGACUCGACUAAUGAAGAAGUCGUUGGCAUCAUGAAGAAUUUGCUGUUCAAUAUCAUGCAUGGCAUUCCUGUCAACUAUCAUGAUUUCUUCAUGAGGACUCUGGAAAAUGUUGCACUCUCUCCAUUUGAGUUGAAGCCUUACGCACCUUGGAUUAUGAGAUUCCUCAGAAUAAGGUCUUCACUCAACUACAAGGCUGAUUUUCAGAAUCACCUCAGCUACUUGCCCCCAAUUGAAGUCCUCAAGCGGACAUAUUCCUCAGCUGAUGAAAAGGGCAAGGCCACUGCUGUUAUUGAUGAAGGCAAAAGAAAAGGUUUUUCUAUGAUUUAAGGCAUUACUUCUGGGAUGACCCACACCUUUAUAAAGGAGUAGAUGGGGUUAUUAGACAUUGUGUACCUGAUCAUGAACAGGAACAGAUCCUACGCAAGUGUCACUCCGAGGCUUAUGGAGGACACCAUGCUGGAGAUAGAACUGCACAUAAGGUAUUGCAAUCCGGCUUUUACUGGCCUACUCUUUUCAAAGAUGCCCGUAAGUUUGUCUUGUCUUGUGAUGAAUGUCAAAGAAUUGGUAAUAUUAGUAGACGUUAAGAAAUGCCUACAAACUAUUCACUUGUUAUUGAACCAUUGAUGUUUGGGGCUUUGAUUAUAUGGGACUGUUUCCUUCCUCUAAUGGAUAUACACAUAUUUUAGUUGUUGUUGAUUACGUUACUAAGUGGGUAGAAACUAUUCCAACUAGUAGUGCUGAUCAUAACACCUCUACUAAGUGUUGGAAAUAUGCCCUAGAGGCAAUAAUAAAUGGUUAUUAUUAUAUUUCUUUGUUCAUGAUAAUUGUCUAUUGUUCAUGCUAUAAUUGUGUUAUCCGGAAAUCGUAAUGCAUGUGUGAAUACAUAGACCACAACGUGUCCCUAGUAAGCCUCUAGUUGACUAGCUCGUUGAUCAACAGAUAGUCAUGGUUUCCUGACUAUGGACAUUGGAUGUCAUUGAUAACGGGAUCACAUCAUUAGGAGAAUGAUGUGAUGGACAAGACCCAAUCCUAAGCAUAGCUCAAAGAUCGUGUAGUUCGUUUGCUAGAGCUUUUCCAAUGUCAAGUAUCUUCUCCUUAGACCAUGAGAUCGUGCAACUCCCGGAUACCGUAGGAGUGCUUUGGGUGUACCAAACGUCACAACAUAACUGGGUGACUAUAAAGGUACACUACGGGUAUCUCCGAAAGUGUCUGUUGGGUUGGCACGGAUCGAGACUGGGAUUUGUCACUCCGUAUAACGGAGAGGUAUCUCUGGGCCCACUCGGUAAUGCAUCAUCAUAAUGAGCUCAAUGUGACUAAGGAGUUAGUCACGGGAUCAUGCAUUGCGGUACGAGUAAAGAGACUUGCCGAUAACGAGAUUGAACAAGGUAUUGGGAUACCGACGAUCGAAUCUCGGGCAAGUAACAUACCGAUUGACAAAGGGAAUUGUAUACGGGAUUGAUUGAAUCCUCGACAUCGUGGUUCAUCCAAUGAGAUCAUCGUGGAACAUGUGGGAGCCAACAUGGGUAUCCAGAUCCCGCUGUUGGUUAUUGACCGAAGAGGCGUCUCGGUCAUGUCUGCAUGUCUCCCGAACCCGUAGGGUCUACACACUUAAGGUUCGGUGACGCUAGGGUUGUAGAGAUAUGAGUAUGCGGAAACCCGAAAGUUGUUCGGAGUCCCGGAUGAGAUCCCGGACAUCACGAGGAGUUCCGGAAUGGUCCGGAGGUGAAGAAUUAUAUAUAGGAAGUCCAGUUUCGGCCACCGGGAAAGUUUCGGGGGUUAUCGGUAUUGUACCGGGACCACCGGAAGGGUCCCGGGGGUCCACCGGGUGGGGCCACCUAUCGCGGAGGGCCCCAUGGGCUGAAGUGGGAAGGGAACCAGCCCUUAGUGGGCUGGGGCGCCCCCCAUGGGCCUCCCCCCUGCGCCUAGGGUUGGAAACCCUAGGGUGGGGGGAGGGCGCCCCACUUGACUUGGGGGGAAGUUCCCCCCCUUGGCCGCUGCCCCCCCAUAGAUGGGUUCUUGGCCGGCGCCCCCCUUCCCAGGGGGCCUAUAUAAAGGGGGGGAGGGAGGGCAGCAAUACGACAGCCUUGGGCGCCUCCCUCCUCCCCUGCAACACCUCUCCCUCUCGCAGAAGCUCGGCGAAGCCCUGCCGAGAUCCCGCUACAUCCACCACCACGCCGUCGUGUUGCUGGAUGUCCAUCAACCUCUCCUUCCCCCUUGCUGGAUCAAGAAGGAGGAGACAUCGCUGCUCCGUACGUGUGUUGAACGCGGAGGUGCCGUCCGUUCGGCACUCGGUCAUCGGUGAUUUGGAUCACGGCGAGUACGACUCCAUUAACCUCGUUCAUUGGAACGCUUCCGCUCGCGAUCUACAAGGGUAUGUAGAUGCACUCCUUUCCCCUCGUUGCUAGUAUACUCCAUAGAUGGAUCUUGGUGAUGCGUAGAAAAUUUUAAAAUUCUGCUACGAUCCCCUACAGUGGCAUCAUGAGCCAGGCCUAUGUGUAGUUACUAUGCACGAGUAGAACACAAAGCAGUUGUGGGCGUAGAUGUUGCCAAUUCUUCUUGCCGCUACUAGUCUUAUCUUGUUUCGGCAGUAUUGUGGGAUGAAGCGGCCCGGACCGACCUUACAUGUACGCUUACGUGAGACAGGUUCCACCGACUGACAUGCACUAGUUGCAUAAGGUGGCUAGCGGGUGUCUGUCUCUCCCACUUUAGUCGGGACGGAUUCGAUGAAAAGGGUCCUUAUGAAGGGUAAAUAGAAAUUGGCAUAUCACGUUGUGGUUUUACGUAGGUAAGAAACGUUCUUGCUAGAAACCUAUACAAGCCACGUAAAAACUUGCAACAACAAUUAGAGGACGUCUAACUUGUUUUUGCAGCAUGUGCUAUGUGAUGUGAUAUGGCCAGAAGAUGUGAUGAAUGAUAUAUGUGAUGUAUGAGAUUGAUCAUAUUCUUGUAAUAGGAAUCACGACUUGCAUGUCGAUGAGUAUAACAACCGGCAGGAGCCAUAGGAGUUGUCUUUAUUAUUUUGUAUGACCUGCGUGUCAUUGAAUAACGCCAUGUAAAUUACUUUACUUUAUUGCUAAACACGUUAGCCAUAGAAGUAGAAGUAAUCGUUGGCGUGACAACUUCAUGAAGACACAAUGAUGGAGAUCAUGAUGAUGGAGAUCAUGGUGUCAUGCCGGUGACGAAGAUGAUCCUGGUGCCCCGAAGAUGGAGAUCAAAGGAGCAAAAUGAUAUUGGCCAUAUCAUGUCACUAUUUGAUUGCAUGUGAUGUUUAUCAUGUUUUGCAUCUUAUUUGCUUAGAACGACGGUAGUAAGUAAGAUGAUCCCUUAUGAUAAUUUCAAGAAAGUGUUCCCCCUAACUGUGCACCGUUCCGAAGGUUCGUUGUUUCGAAGCACCACAUGAUGAUCGGGUGUGAUAGAUUCUAACGUUCGCAUACAACGGGUGUUGACGAGCCUAGCAUGUACAGACAUGGCCUCGGGACACAUGCAAUACACUUAGGUUGACUUGACGAGCCUAGCAUGUACAGACAUGGCCUCGGAACACGGAGGACUGAAAGGUCGAGCAUGAGUCGUAUAGAAGAUACGAUCAACAUGGAGAUGUUCACCGAUCUUGACUAGUCCGUCUCACGUGAUGAUCGGACACGGCCUAGUUAACUCGGAUCAUGUUUCACUUAGAUGACUAGAGGGAUGUCUAUCUGAGUGGGAGUUCAUUGAGUAAUUUGAUUAGAUGAACUUAAUUAUCAUGAACUUAGUCUAAAAUCUUUACAAUAUGUCUUGUAGAUCAAAUGGCCCACGUUGUCCUCAACUUCAACGCGUUCCUAGAGAAAACCAAGCUGAAAGAUGAUGGCAACAACUAUACGGACUGGGUCCGGAACCUGAGGAUCAUCCUCAUAGCUGCCAAGAAAGAUUAUGUCCUAGAAGCACCGCUAGGUGAACCAAUCCCAGAGAACCAAGACGUUAUGAACGCUUGGCAAUCACGUGCUGAUGAUUACUCCCUUGUUCAGUGCGGCAUGCUUUACAGCUUAGAACCGGGUCUCCAAAAGCGUUUUGAGAAACACGGAGCAUAUGAGAUGUUCAAAGAGCUAAAAAUGGUUUUCCAAGCUCAUGCCCGGGUCGAGAGAUAUGAAGUCUCCGACAAGUUCUUCAGCUGUAAAAUGGAGGAAAAUAGUUCUGUAAGUGAGCACAUACUCAGAAUGUCUGGGUUACACAACCGCUUGUCUCAGCUGGGAGUUAAUCUCCCGGAUGACGCGGUCAUUGACAGAAUCCUUCAGUCGCUUCCACCAAGCUACAAGAGCUUUGUGAUGAACUUCAAUAUGCAGGGGAUGGAAAAGACCAUUCCUGAGGUAUAUUCGAUGCUGAAAUCAGCGGAGGUGGAGAUCAGAAAAGAACAUCAAGUGUUGAUGGUGAAUAAAACCACUAAGUUCAAGAAGGGCAAGGGUAAGAAGAACUUCAAGAAGGACGACAAGGGAGUUGCGCUCGGUAAGCCAGUUACCGGGAAGAAGUCAAGGAAUGGACCCAAGCCUGAGACUGAGUGCUUUUAUUGCAAGGGAAGUGGUCACUGGAAGCGGAACUGCCCCAAAUACUUAGCGGACAAGAAGGCCGGCAACACCAAAGGUAUAUGUGAUAUACAUGUAAUUGAUGUGUACCUUACCAGUACUCGUAGUAGCUCCUGGGUAUUUGAUACCGGUGCGGUUGCUCAUAUUUGUAACUCAAAACAGGAACUGCGGAAUAAACGGAGACUGGCGAAGGACGAGGUGACGAUGCGCGUCGGGAAUGGUUCCAAGGUCGAUGUGAUCGCCGUCGGCACGCUACCUCUACAUUUACCUACGGGAUUAGUUUUAAACCUCAAUAAUUGUUAUUUAGUGCCAGCUUUGAGCAUGAACAUUGUAUCUGGAUCUCGUUUAAUGCGAGAUGGCUACUCAUUUAAAUCCGAGAAUAAUGGUUGUUCUAUUUAUAUGAGAGAUAUGUUUUAUGGUCAUGCCCCGCUGGUCAAUGGUUUAUUCUUGAUGAAUCUCGAACGUGAUGUUACACAUAUUCAUAGUGUGAAUACCAAAAGAUGUAAAGUUGAUAACGAUAGUCCCACAUACUUGUGGCACUGCCGCCUUGGUCACAUUGGUGUCAAGCGCAUGAAGAAGCUCCAUGCAGUUGGACUUUUGGAGUCUCUUGAUUACGAAUCAUUUGACACGUGCGAACCAUGCCUCAUGGGUAAGAUGACCAAGACUCCGUUCUCCGGAACAAUGGAGCGAGCAACCAACUUAUUGGAAAUCAUACAUACCGAUGUGUGCGGUCCAAUGAGUGUUGAGGCUCGCGGAGGAUAUCAUUAUGUUCUCACUCUCACUGAUGACUUAAGUAGAUAUGGGUAUGUCUACCUAAUGAAACACAAGUCUGAAACCUUUGAAAAGUUCAAGGAAUUUCAGAGUGAGGUUGAGAAUCAACGUGACAGGAAAAUAAAAUUCUUAUGAUCAGAUCGUGGUGGAGAAUAUUUAAGUCACGAAUUUGGUACACACUUAAGGAAAUGUGGAAUCGUUUCACAACUCACGCCGCCUGGAACACCUCAGCGAAAUGGUGUGUCUGAACGUCGUAAUCGCACUCUAUUGGAUAUGGUGCGAUCUAUGAUGUCUCUUACCGAUUUACCGCUCUCAUUUUGGGGCUAUGCUUUAGAGACUGCCGCAUUCACUUUAAAUAGGGCUCCGUCGAAAUCCGUUGAGACGACACGUAUGAAUUAUGGUUUGGGAAGAAACCUAAGUUGUCGUUUCUAAAAGUUUGGGGAUGCGAUGCUUAUGUCAAGAAACUUCAACCUAAAAAGCUCGAACCCAAGUCGGAGAAAUGCGUCUUCAUAGGAUACCCUAAGGAAACUAUUGGGUAUACCUUCUACCUCAGAUCCGAAGGCAAGAUCUUCGUUGCCAAGAAUGGGUCCUUUCUGGAGAAAGAGUUUCUCUCGAAGGAAGUAAGUGGGAGGAAAGUGGAACUUGAUGAGGUGAUAGUCACCCCUUUCGUACCGGAAAGUAGCGCAGCGCGGAAAGAUGUUCCUGUGGUGCCUACACCGACUGGGAGGAAGUUAAUGAUGAUGAUCAUGAAGCUUUGGAUCAAGUUACUGCUGAACUUCGUAGGUCCACAAGGACACGUUCCGCACCAGAGUGGUACGGCAACCCUGUCCUGGAAAUCAUGUUGUUAGACAACGGUGAACCUUCGAACUAUGAAGAAGCGAUGGCGGGCCCGGAUUCCGACAAAUGGCUAGAAGCCAUGAAAUCCGAGAUAGGAUCCAUGUAUGAAAACGAAGUAUGGACUUUGACUGACUUGCUCGAUGAUCGGCGAGCCAUAGAAAAUAAAUGGAUCUUUAAGAACAAGAUAGACGCGGAUGGUAAUGUGACCAUCUAUAAGGCUCGACUUGUCGCUAAGGGUUAUCGACAAGUUCAAGGGGUUGACUACGAUGAGACUUUCUCACCCGUAGCGAAGCUGAAGUCCGUCCGAAUCAUGUUAGCAAUUGCCGCAUACUAUGAUUAUGAGAUAUGGCAGAUGGACGUCAAAACGGCAUUCCUUAACGGCUUCCUUAAGGAAGAAUUGUAUAUGAUGCAGCCGGAAGGUUUUGUCGAUCCUAAGAAUGCUAACAAAGUAUGCAAGCUCCAGCGCUCAAUCUAUGGGCUGGUGCAAGCAUCUCGGAGUUGGAACAUUCGCUUUGAUGAGAUGAUCAAAGCGUUUGGGUUUACACAGACUUAUGGAGAAGCCUGUGUUUACAAGAAACUGAGUGGGAGCUCUGUAGUAUUUCUCUUAUUGUAUGUGGAUGACAUACUAUUGAUGGGAAAUGAUAUAGAAUUCUUGGAAAGUAUAAAGGCCUAUUUGAAUAAGUGUUUUUCAAUGAAGGACCUUGGAGAAGCUGCUUAUAUAUUAGGCAUCAAGAUCUAUAGAGAUAGAUCAAGACGCCUCAUUGGUCUUUCACAGAGUACGUACCUUGACAAGAUAUUGAAGAAGUUCAAUAUGGAUCAGUCCAAGAAGGGGUUCUUGCCUGUAUUGCAAGGUGUGCAAUUGAGCACGGCUCAAUGCCCGACCACGGCAGAAGAUAGAGAAAAGAUGAGUGUCAUCCCCUAUGCCUCGGCCAUAGGGUCUAUUAUGUAUGCCAUGCUGUGUACCAGACCUGAUGUAAACCUUGCCAUGAGUUUGGUAGGAAGGUACCAAAGUAAUCCCGGCAUGGAACACAGGACAUCAGUCAAGAAUAUCCUGAAGUACCUGAAGAGGACUAAGGAUAUGUUUCUCGUUUAUGGAGGUGACGAAGAGCUCGUCGUAAAGGGUUACGUCGACGCUAGCUUCAACACAGAUCUGGAUGACUCGAAGUCACAAACCGGAUACGUGUAUAUUUUGAAUGGAGGAGCAGUAAGCUGGUGCAGUUGCAAGCAAAGCGUCGUGGCGGGAUCUACAUGUGAAGCGGAGUACAUGGCAGCCUCGGAGGCAGCACAGGAAGCAGUCUGGAUGAAGGAGUCCAUUACCGACCUAGGGGUGAUUCCAAAUACGUCGGGCCCGAUGACUCUCUUCUGUGACAACACUGGAGCUAUUGCCCUUGCGAAGGAGCCCAGGUUUCACAGGAAGACCAGGCAUAUCAAGCGCCGCUUCAACUCCAUUCGUGAAAGUGUUCAAAAUGGAGACAUAGAUAUUUGUAAAGUACAUACGGACCUGAAUGUAGCAGAUCCGUUGACUAAACCUCUCCCUAGAGCAAAACAUGAUCAACACCAGCACGCAAUGGGUGUUCGAUUCAUCACAAUGUAACUAGAUUAUUGACUCUAGUGCAAGUGGGAGACUGUUGGAAAUAUGCCCUAGAGGCAAUAAUAAAUGGUUAUUAUUAUAUUUCUUUGUUCAUGAUAAUUGUCUAUUGUUCAUGCUAUAAUUGUGUUAUCCGGAAAUCGUAAUGCAUGUGUGAAUACAUAGACCACAACGUGUCCCUAGUAAGCCUCUAGUUGACUAGAUCGUUGAUCAACAGAUAGUCAUGGUUUCCUGACUAUGGACAUUGGAUGUCAUUGAUAACGGGAUCACAUCAUUAGGAGAAUGAUGUGAUGGACAAGACCCAAUCCUAAGCAUAGCUCAAAGAUCGUGUAGUUCGUUUGCUAGAGCUUUUCCAAUGUCAAGUAUCUUCUCCUUAGACCAUGAGAUCAUGCAACUCUCGGAUACCGUAGGAGUGCUUUGGGUGUACCAAACGUCACAACGUAACUGGGUGACUAUAAAGGUACACUACGGGUAUCUCCGAAAGUGUCUGUUGGGUUGGCACGGAUCGAGACUGGGAUUUGUCACUCCGUAUAACGGAGAGGUAUCUCUGGGCCCACUCGGCAAUGCAUCAUCAUAAUGAGCUCAAUGUGACUAAGGAGUUAGUCACGGGAUCAUGCAUUGCGGUACGAGUAAAGAGACUUGCCGAUAACGAGAUUGAACAAGGUAUUGGGAUAUCGACGAUCGAAUCUCGGGCAAGUAACAUACCGAUUGACAAAGGGAAUUGUAUACGGGAUUGAUUGAAUCCUCGACAUCGUGGUUCAUCCGAUGAGAUCAUCGUGGAACAUGUGGGAGCCAACAUGGGUAUCCAGAUCCCGCUGUUGGUUAUUGACCGAAGAGGCGUCUCGGUCAUGUCUGCAUGUCUCCCGAACCCGUAGGGUCUACACACUUAAGGUUCGGUGACGCUAGGGUUGUAGAGAUAUGAGUAUGCGGAAACCCGAAAGUUGUUUGGAGUCCCGGAUGAGAUCCCGGACAUCACGAGGAGUUCCGGAAUGGUCCGGAGGUGAAGAAUUAUAUAUAGGAAGUCCAGUUUCGGCCACGGGGAAAGUUUCGGGGGUUAGCGGUAUUGUACCGGGACCACCGGAAGGGUCCCGGGGGUCCACCGGGUGGGGCCACCUAUCCCGAAGGGCCCCAUGGGCUGAAGUGGGAAGGGAACCAGCCCUUAGUGCGCUGGGGCGCCCCCCAUGGGCCUCCCCCUGCGCCUAGGGUUGGAAACCCUAGGGUGGGGGGCGCCCCACUUGACUUGGGGGGGGGGAAGUUCCCCCCCCUUGGCCGCCGCCCCCCCAUAGAUGGGUUCUUGGCCGGUGCCCCCCCUUCCCAGGGGGCCUAUAUAAAGGGGGGAGGGAGGGCAGCAAUACGACAACCUUUGGCGCCUCCCUCCUCCCCUGCAACACCUCUCCCUCUCACAGAAGCUCGGCGAAGCCCUGCCGAGAUCCCGCUACAUCCACCACCACGCCGUCGUACUGCUGGAUCUCCAUCAACCUCUCCUUCCCCCUUGCUGGAUCAAGAAGGAGGAGACGUCGCUGCUCCAUACGUGUGUUGAACGCGGAGGUGCCGUCCGUUCGGCACUCGGUCAUCGGUGAUUUGGAUCACGGCGAGUACGACUCCAUCAACCUCGUUCAUUGGAACGCUUCCGCUCGCGAUCUACAAGGGUAUGUAGAUGCACUCCUUUCCCCUCGUUGCUAGUAUACUCCAUAGAUGGAUCUUGGUGAUGCCUAGAAAAUUUUAAAAUUCUGCUACGAUCCCCUACAUUAAGAUGCUUAAAGAAGUUAUUUUUCCGAGGUUUGGAGUCCCUAGAUACUUAAUGACUGAUGGUGAUUCACAUUUUAUUCAUGGUGCUUUUCGUAAAAUGCUUGCUAAGUAUGAUGUUAAUCAUAGAAUUGCAUCUCCAUAUCACCCACAGUCUAUUGGUCAAGUAGAACUGAGUAAUAGGGAGAUUAAAUUAAUUUUGCAAAAGACUGUUAACAGAUCUAGAAAGAAUUGGUCCAACAAACUUGAUGAUGCAUUAUGGGCCUAUAGAACUGCAUAUAAAAAUCCUAUGGGUAUGUCUCCGUAUAAAAUGUUUUAUGGAAAAGCAUGUCACUUAACUCUCAAACUAGAACAUAAGGCAUAUUGGGUGUAACGCCCACGAUGCGGCUAUAUCUCCCACGUGUCGAGGCACGACUUAGAGGCAUAACCGCAUAGUGGUUUUGUCGCAAGAAGGGUCAUCUUCACACAAUGCCAUGUAAUGAACAAGAAUGGGAUAAAGAGUUGGCUUACAAUCGCCACUUCACACAAUACAUGAACAUAAUUCAUACAUCAUCCAAAAUACAAUCAAAUAGACCGACUACGGUCAAAAUCCAGAUGAAAAUAAGACAACCCCAAAUGCUAGAUCCCCGAUCGUCCCAACUGGGCUCCACUACUGAUCGUCAGGAAAAGACACAUAGUAACGACCACGUUCCUCGUCGAACUCCCACUUGAGAUCGACCCCAUCAUCCGCACUGGCAUCGUCGGCACCUGCAACUGUUUUGGUAGAAUCUGUGAGUCACGAGGACUCAGCAAUCUCACACCCGCGAGAUCAAGACUAUUUAAGCUGGUAGGAAAGGAUGGUGUAAUGCGGUGGAGCUGCAGCGGCAACAAGCAUAUAUGGUGGCUAACAUACGCAAGAGAGAGCGAGAAGAGAAGCAACGGAGCGGUCGUCAUCUAGCAAUAACCAAGAAGUGAUCCUGAACACCUACUUACGUCAUACAUAACUCAGACCGUGUUCACUUCCCGGACUCCGCCGAGAAGAGACCAUCACGGCUACACACGCAGUUGAUGUAUUUUAAUUGGGUCAAGUGACAAGUUAUCUACAACCGGUCAUUAACAAAUUCCCAUCUGCCUCAUAACCGCGGGCAUGGCUUUCGAAAGAUAAUACCCUGCAGGGGUGUCCCAACUUAGCCCAUCAUAAGCUCUCGCGGUCAACGAAGGAUAAACCUUCUCCCGGAAAGACCCGAUCAGUCUCGGAAUCCCGGUUUACAAGACAUCUCGACAAUGGUAAAACAAGACCAGCAAAGCCGCCCGAAUGUGCCGACAAAUCCCGAUAGGAGCUGCACAUAUCUCGUUCUCAGGGCACACCAGAUUGUCCAAGCUUCCGAUAGGCCAGCCCAGAGUUGCCCCUGGUGGCCACCGGCGACUGACAGUUUAGACCAAUACUCAGAGGAGCAUUGGCCCGGGGGUUUAAAAUAAAGAUGACCCUCGGGCUCGCGAAAACCCGGGGGAAAAGGCUUAGGUGGCAAAUGGUAAAACCAAGGUUGGGCCUUGCUGGAGGAGUUUUAUUCAAGGCGAACUGUCAAGGGGGUCCCAUAAAUCACCCGACCGCGUAAGGAACGCAAACUCAAGGAACAUAAUCCCGGUAUAACAGUAACUAGGGCGGCAAGAGUGGAACAAAACACCAGGCAUAAGGCCGAGCCUUCCACCCUUGACCAAAAUAUAUAGAUGCAUUAAUUAAAUAAGAGAUAUUGUGAUAUCCCAACAUAUCCAUGUUCCGACAUGGAACAAACUUCAACUUCACCUGCAACUAGCAACGCUAUAAGAGGGGCUGAGCAAAAGCGGUAACUUAGCCAAACAACGGUUUGGUAGGAAAAGAUGGUUAGAGGCUGACAUGGCAAAAUGGGUGGCAUGAUAUAGCAAGUGAUAUGUAGCGUAGCAUGGCAAUAGAGCGAACAACUAGCAAAGCAAAGAUAGAAGUGAUUUCGAGGGGUGGUCAUCUUGCCUGCAAGGUUCUCAGAGUUGUCGAAAGCUUGAUCCUCGUAAGCGUACUCAACAGGUUCCUCGUUCACGAACUCGUCUCCCGGCUCUACCCAAGACAAGAACACAAACAAACGGAACCACAAUCAACCACGAGAAAUGCGCAAGCAACAUGAUGCAAAACAUGUAUGAUAUGCGAUGCAUAUGCGUGCUCCGGAAGGAAAAUGAUGAACAUGGCAGUAACUUGGCAAACCAAGCAUCCCACUGGAAAGGUGAGAUGAUUUCAGUCGAAAUCGAUAUAAAGAUCACCGGAAACGGAUGCACGGUUUGCAAAUGGCAAGCAAAACAAGAAUGACACGAAACUGCGAUUAACAGCAUGAUAGCACUUAAAAUGCAACAAGCAACAAUGCUACAGCACUACAACAUAGAAACAAAGCAUAUGACAGUAAUCUACAGGAGAUGCUUGACAAAAGAUGAACACUGAGCUACGGCUAGUUCACAAGAUAUCAAGCUCAAACAAGCAUAGCAAAAGUGCAAAAGAUAAAAGGAUGACAGACUUGGUGAAAAACUGGACAUGGCAGAAAACAGCAUCAGGUAGCAAUGUUCAGAGCACGAAAUCAACAUGCUACAGGAACUUAACAUAGCAAAACAAGGCAUGACAGUGUUCUACUAAACGCAUAUGACAAAAGUCCCUUACUGACCAUAAGCCAAAAAGGAGCAGAAGAUAUGAUGGCAAGCAUGUAAACAUAGCAAGUUUCGUUAUCAGGUUUCAGACUUGGCAGAAAACAGAGCAUGGCAGAAAUAAUAAUAUGUAGGCCUCUUUGUGAGCUUGAUGCACUCACUACAGAGCAAUGCAUGACAAACUAAGCACACCUACAUCAAGAUGGCAUGUUUAUGAAGCUAUCCAUGGCAAGAACAAUUGCAUAGCAUGUAUGGAUCAACUACAAUAAGCUUGGCAAAAAUGAAUAACAUGUUAAGAAUCUGCCAGAAAUAUUUUAUAGCAAAAGUAGAGCAAGAUUGAGUCAUGCUAUGGCACUCUAUAAUUGCAAACAAGUGCAGGAAUGGAUCAAUUACAACUAUAUCUACAAAACAUCCUACUGAACUUCUUCAAAAUAUGCAUGAAUCUCUCUGUAGCAUCAAGUUUACAUGGCAAUAAAAUAACAGCAGACAAGGACUUGGAGAAAUCACUGUCCCAGAAAUCAGAAAUAUUACGGGGCCUACUUUGCAUGCUUGUGCUAGUCACCACAGAGAUCACAAAAAUAAAUGGACUACACCACUGGAAAGAUGGCAUGGCAUACUUCAAGACACAUGUAGAGCUGAUGCUCAUAAGAUGCACAGAUUAAAAGAUACAAAAAUGACAAAUCUCCAAGUUCUGUUGAGAACCAGAGAAUAACAGCAACUAGCCCUCUUCCAACAGAGAUUUGGGCAUCAAGAUGACCUCUAAUGAACAUGGUGCAAUUGAACAAAAUGAAGAGCAUCACGAGGCGAACAAUUUGACAUAUUACACGCACGAAUCGGAGCUACAUGCAAGGAGUUAUGGCAUCACGAACAGGGCUAUAUGCUGGAAAAGAUUGAGGACUUUGGAAUUUUCGGGGUCGCGAGAAAGUCAACUCACGAGGGAUCUUCCAGAUCCGAUCGAGCGAAGGGGCUCGGGCUCGGGCUCCGGCCUCGCCGGCGAUGGAGGAAGAGGAGGCGGCGAGNNNNNNNNNNNNNNNNNNNNNNNNNNNNNNNNNNNNNNNNNNNNNNNNNNNNNNNNNNNNNNNNNNNNNNNNNNNNNNNNNNNNNNNNNNNNNNNNNNNNNNNNNNNNNNNNNNNNNNNNNNNNNNNNNNNNNNNNNNNNNNNNNNNNNNNNNNNNNNNNNNNNNNNNNNNNNNNNNNNNNNNNNNNNNNNNNNNNNNNNNNNNNNNNNNNNNNNNNNNNNNNNNNNNNNNNNNNNNNNNNNNNNNNNNNNNNNNNNNNNNNNNNNNNNNNNNNNNNNNNNNNNNNNNNNNNNNNNNNNNNNNNNNNNNNNNNNNNNNNNNNNNNNNNNNNNNNNNNNNNNNNNNNNNNNNNNNNNNNNNNNNNNNNNNNNNNNNNNNNNNNNNNNNNNNNNNNNNNNNNNNNNNNNNNNNNNNNNNNNNNNNNNNNNNNNNNNNNNNNNNNNNNNNNNNNNNNNNNNNNNNNNNNNNNNNNNNNNNNNNNNNNNNNNNNNNNNNNNNNNNNNNNNNNNNCGGGGGCCUCGCGGGCCGGCGCGGUGGCGGCGACGGGCUGAUGACGUGGCGCGUGCUGAUUCACCGGGCGGUGCGGGCGGACUUUGUCCGGUGGCGCGAGGUGGAAGACGCUAGGGUUUGACUGCGAUUGUAAUUUCGGGAUGCCCACAUAUUUAUAGGUAGAGGGAGCUAGGAGGCUCCAAAUGAGGUGCGGUUUUCGCCCACACGAUCGUGAUCGAACGACCUAUAGCAUGGAAGAGAGUUUGGUGGGUUUUGGGCUGGUUUUUGAGGGGGUUUUGCUGGACACUCAAAUGGACAUUGCGGAUGCCCGAUUAACCGUUGGAGUACCAAACGACCUCCAAAUGGAACGAAACUUGACCGGUGGUCUCCGAGUGGUAUAUUAAGGCCACUUGACAAGCCUCGGUCCAUUCCGAGAAAGUUUGACACCCGCACACGAAAGAAAACGAAAGGGGUGCACCGGGGGAGAUAGGAGCGCCGGAUUGCAAAACGGACAACGGGGAAAAUGCUCGGAUGCAUGAGACGAACACGUAUGCAAAUGCAAUGCACAUGAUGACAUGAUAUGAAAUGCAUGACAUGACAAAAUGCAAAAACGAAAAACAAAACCCGACCACGGAGGGAAUAUCAUAACACAUAGCCGAAAAUGGCAAGAGUCGGAGUUACAAAUAUGGCAAGUUACAUGCGGGGUGUUACAACACUCCACCACUACGAGAGGAUCUCGUCCCGAGAUCUAGGACUGAAAGAACUCCGGAUAUUCAGAACGGAGGUGGUCCUCGCGUUCCCAUGUGGCUUCCCGGUCGGAAUGGCGCGACCACUUCACUUUCAGGAAUUUGAUUGACUUGUUGCGAGUCUUGCGCUCAAUUUCUUCAAGAAUAGCAACGGGGUGCUCAUGAUAAGACAAAUCUUCUUGGAGGUCAAUCUCUUAGAAGUUGAUAGUGCGCUCAGGCGUCUUGAAGCACUUGCGGAGCUGUGACACGUGGAACACGUCGUGCACGUUCGCGAAGUUGGAAGGAAGCUCAAGUUGAUAGGCGAGGUCGCCUCUUUUGCCAAUGAUCUUGAAAGGACCCACGUAUCUAGGGGCAAGCUUCCCUUUGAUACCGAAGCGACGAGUGCCUUUCAUUGGAGAGACGCGGAGGUAGACAUGGUCUCCGAUCUCGAAAGCCAAAUCACGGUGCUUACUAUCAUAGUAACUCUUCUGGCGCGAUUGCGCGGCUUUGAGAUUAUCACGGAUGACUUUACACAUUUCUUCAGCUUCAGUGAUUAAGUCAUUGCCAAGAAUUUGGCGUUCACCAGUCUCUGACCAAUUGAGAGGAGUACGGCACUUUCUGCCAUAGAGAAUCUCGAACGGGGCCUUGCCCGAACUCGCUUGGAAGCUGUUGUUGUAGGAGAAUUCAGCAUAUGGGAGACAAUCUUCCCAUUUCAUGCCAAAGGAAAUGACACAAGCCCUGAGCAUAUCUUCAAGAAUUUGAUUGACUCGCUCGACUUGGCCACUAGUUUGAGGAUGGAAAGCUAUGCUGAAGCGAAUGUUUGUGCCCAUGGCCUUCUGGAAAGAGUCCCAGAACUUAGAGGUGAAGAUGCUUCCACGAUCUGAAGAAAUCAAUUGUGGAAUGCCGUGCAAGGAGACAAUUCUGGAUGUGUAAAGCUCUGCCAGCUGAGCUGCUGUGAUGGAUUCUUUGAUUGGAAGGAAAUGAGCCACUUUAUAAAGCUUGUCGAUGACAACGAAGAUAGCAUCAUUUCCGCGCUUGGACUUUGGAAAACCAGACACGAAGUCCAUUUCGAUAUGAUCAAACUUCCAUUCUGGGAUAGCAAGAGGUUGGAGGAGACCAGCUGGUCGUUGGUGUUCUUCUUUCACUCUUCGACAGACAUCACAUUCAUUCACGAACUGAGCAAUUUCUCGCUUCAUUCGAGUCCACCAAAACGACUGCUUGAGGUCAUGAUACAUCUUCGUACUUCCAGGAUGAAUGGACAGGAGAGAAAUGUGCGCCUUGUUCAUUAUGACUUUCCUUAGAUCACCUUUAGGAACCACAAUCCGGUCCUCGAAGAAUAAAGUGUCUCUGUCAUCAAUGCGAUAGCACUUGUAUUUGGAAAGACCCUUGUCGAUACCACGUUUGACCUUCUUCACCAUGGCAUCAAGGAGUUGUGCCUCACGAAUUUGAUCUUCCAAAGUAGGCGAUACUAUGAGGUUGGCAAGAAAGCCUUGAGGGACAACUUGGAGAUUCAGCUUGCGGAAAGCUUCACAAGGAUCCGGUUGGAAAGGCUUGAGAAUUAAGCUGUUGCAAUAAGCCUUCCUGCUUAAAGCAUCUGCAAUGACAUUUGCUUUGCCUGGAGUAUAUUCAAUACUCGAAUUGUACUCUUGAAUCAUUUUGACCCAUCGAGUCUGCCUGAGGUUGAGGUUGGGCUGAGUGAAGAUAUACCUGAGACUCUUGUGAUCGGUGAAAAUGUCCACUUGUCUACCCAACAAGAGAUGUCUCCAUGUUAUUAAUGCAUGGACAACUGCCGCCAACUCAAGAUCGUGAGUGGGGUAGUUCUUCUCGUUGGGCUUCAACUGACGAGAGGUAUAGGCGACAACUUUCUUUUCUUGCAUUAACACAACACCGAGACCUUGGAGAGAAGCAUCACAGAAAACUUCAUAUGGCUUGGAUUCAUCAGGAGGAGCUAAGACAGGAGCUGUGACUAGUUUCUCUUUGAGAGUGUUGAAAGCAACAUCACACUCAGGAGACCAGACAAAUUUCACAUGCUUCUGGAGGAGGUUGGAAAGAGGCUUUGCAAUCUUGGAGAAAUUCUCAACGAAUCUUCGGCAAUAGCUUGCAAGACCAAGAAAACUGCGGAGCUGCUUGACAUUCUGAGGAGGUUCCCAAUUCACAAUUGCGGACACCUUCUCGGGGUUAACAGCGAUGCCCUUGGCAGAGAUGAUGUGACCAAGGAAAAGAACUUCAUCGAGCCAAAACUCACAUUUAGAGAACUUCGCAUAGAAUUGAUACUCUCUGAGCUUGUCGAGCACCAAUCGCAAAUGUUUGGCAUGAUCCUGCUUAUUCUUGGAGAAGACCAAGAUAUCAUCGAGAUACACCAGGACGAAUUCAUUGGUAUAGGGGUUGAAGAUGAAAUUCAUCAUCCGAGAGAACACUGGAGGAGCAUUGACAAGGCCGAAAGACACGACAGUAUAUUCAUAAGAACCAAAGCUCAUUCUGAAUGCUGUCUUGGGAAUAUCUUCUUCACGAAUGCGAAUCUGAUGAUAACCCAUACGAAGGUCAAGCUUCGAGAAUACUUUAGCACCUUUGAGUUGCUCAAAUAGCUCAUUGAUGUUGGGAAGUGGAUACUUGUUCUUGAUUGUCUUCUUUUUCAAUGGACGGUAGUCGACACAAAGUCGGUCCGUGCCAUCCUUCUUCUUGACAAAAAGAACACCACAACCCCAUGGAGAAGAACUCGGUCUGAUCAAACCCAGACGCUCUUGUUCAUCGAGCUGUUUCUUCAAUUCCUUCAGCUCGUUGGGUCCAAGCUUGUAUGGACGCUUGCAAACGGGUUCAGUACCAGGCUCUAGUUCGAUAACGAACUCAACUGGCCGAUGAGGAGGCAUACCCGGAAGCUCUUCUGGAAAGACAUCUUGAUACUCACAAACGACUGGAAUUUGAGAGAUGGCAUUCAAUUCGCCCUUCUCAUUGAGAGAAAAGAACCGAAUGGUUUCAUCACCAGCGGCAUAAAUAAUCACAUCCUCAGACGAGUGUGUCAAUUGAAUUUCCCUGGCAGCACAAUCAAGUUGAGCCUUGUGCUUAGAAAGCCAGUCCAUCCCGAGAAUAAGAUCAAUAUCCGAGUCACCAAGAACAAUUGGAGAAGACUGAAAUUUAUAGUCGCCCAUCUUGAUGGUAACAUCCGGAACCAUGGAACUUGCAUUCAUGCAUUUGCCCGGAGAGACAACUGCUAACGGUCUAGGCAAUCCUUGGAAAUGCAAUUCAUGCUUGGAUGCAAAAGGUCUUGAUAUGAAAGAAAGCGAUGCACCAGUAUCAAAAAGAACUUUUGCGGGAAUAUCAUUAACAGGAAGAUUACCCAUUAUCACAUCAGUAGAUUCCUUCGCUUGAGCUGCAUUCAUCAUGUUCACCUUUGCAAACUUUGGAUUAUGCUUGACCACUGCAUUGCUGGAAGAUCUGACAGGGGGAGGAGGAGGCAGACGCCUUUGGUUGAAGCACUUGUUAGCAUAGUGACCUUUCUGCUGACAUUUGUUGCAAGUCACCUCUGAGAGUGGACGGUGAUAAGGAGCAUUGGACUUUGGAGCUUGAUUUUGAGACUUGUUCUGAUAGCCAGAGUUGGAAGAACCAUGGCCACCUUUGUUCUUCUGCUGGUAAGGCUGACGAAACGGAGGAGGAGGAGGCAACCAGAACUUCUGUUGCUUAGCUGUCACAAGUGAGGAGGAAGAAGACUGAACUGCGUCUCUGACUCUCUUCUUACAAGCCUCAUACUUGAGCUGAGCAGCCUCUUGCUUCAGUGCCAUAUUAUAGAAUUGAUCAAACUGAGUAGGCUCAACAAGAACGAGAGCUAACUGCAGAUCCUCCUUAAGGCCACCUCUGAAGUGAUAGAUCAUGCUCUUUUCAUCAGGAACGUCUUGUUUAGCGAAGCGAGCAAGUUUCUGAAACUGGAUAUUGUAUUGAUACACAGACAUGUUGCCUUGCUUGAGAUUGCGGAACUCCUCACGCUUGCUCUCAACAACACUUUGUGGAAUGUGGUGCGCUUUGAAGUCCCGACAGAAGUCAGUCCAAGUGAUCACACGACCUCCUCUGGAAUCUUUGUAUUGUUGAUACCAAUCAGCAGCUUGGUCCUUGAGCUGGAAAGAAGCGAACUUGACAUAGUCCUCAGGCCUGACAUUGCUACAUUCAAAAUGCUUGUUGAUGUCCAUGAGCCAAUCAUCGGCAUCCGUGGCCUCGGCACAGUAGCUGAAAGACUUGGGCUGAUUUGCGAGAAACUGGUUGAGUGUAGCAAAGUGAAACUGAUUGUUGCCUUGACCUUGAUUGCCUUGCCCUUGAGUACGUUCUUGCAAGAGUUGCAGAAUCAUCUGAGCAUUGGCGUUGGUGGCUGCCAUGAUAGCCUGCCAUGCCUCCGGAGGUGGAGGUGGUGGCGGAGGGUUCGCUUGACUCCCUUCAUUGCGAUCCGGAUUCUGACGCGUUGGCGGAGCCAUCCUGAAGAGGGUGACAUCCGUUAGCAUCUUGAUAGACAAAUAGAUAAGUAGAAUCAACGGAUAGAAAUUGCAACAUGUAGUCUUCACAAUAAACAUUCGAACGAAGAUGAACGAAUGAAUUCCGUAGUAAAAGAUCACACUUCCAUAAGUUGAGAAGCCACUUGAAAAAGAUAUGGAAUCAACAUAUGAAUUCGAAGCAACUCGAAUACCACAAUUCAAAACAAAACAAAGUAUUGGCUUGCAGAAUAAGCCGGAACAAACAUAUGAUAGAGGUUUCGUCUGAAGUUUUCGUGGUGGGGCCCACACGGGCUCAAUCGUACAGCACCAUCAUGUACAAGGCUGUGCACAUGACAUACGAAGCGUCCCCGAGUCGGCAUAGCCAUGGACUCUUUAAGACACUACGAGACCACUGUAAAAUCAACCGUGUACAGGCGGACCACUAGAUGUCGAACCCCAAUCUCAUAUCAUGCGUCUGUCGGAAAGAUAUCCUAAGGCUACUUGAAUUCCCACUUAUAAACUCCCGAAACUUUCUGGUUAUGCAAUCUGGUGUAGGGGAUACAGGGGACACAAAAUAUAUCACCCAAACUAACAAUCCCUAGAUCCAGCUGUAUCCAUCCGUCAACACAUAACCAAGAAACCUUCAGAAAUCGUUUACCUCAACCUUAGAAAAGCAUCCGUUAUACAAGUUAUGGCAAUACUCCCGAACUCCCGCCCCAGUACUGGGUGGCGUCGAGGUGAUCUCACCAACAACUGCAUAAAAGAGAUUUCGAUGUCGGCGAAACUCAGGUAUUCCAGAACUGCAACGAUAAAAUUGUGACGACAACACCUCGGAGCUCAACUCCCCGGGACACUGCCACAACCCCUAAAUGUCAGGAGGCACCAAGAACAAUGUUCUCGUCACAAAACCAUUGGAACGAUUCCAAGAUACCCGCGUGAUCCUAAAUUUUUUUUUUUUGUGAAAUUUGAGGAGAGAAUAGUCAAAACUUCUACGUCAGGAGACCUCACCAGAGCGACGAAGGGACUGAGGAGUAAAAAGAAUCCUACUCUCCGAUAUAUAUAAUCCUAAGAUUCAAAAUAUUUUUGUUCUAGACUCCUGAUUACCAACUUGUAACGCCAACGAUUCGAUCAAGCAGGGGGCUCCUAAGUCGGGGAUGGCUCUGAUUACCAACUUGUAACGCCCACGAUGCGGCUAUAUCUCCCACGUGUCGAGGCACGACGUAGAGGCAUAACCGCAUAGUGGUUUUGUCGCAAGAAGGGUCAACUUCACACAAUCCCAUGUAAUGAACAAGAAUGGGAUAAAGAGUUGGCUUACAAUCGCCACUUCACACAAUACAUGAACAUAAUUCAUACAUCAUCCAAAAUACAAUCAAAUAGACCGACUACGGUCAAAAUCCAGAUGAAAAUAAGACAACCCCAAAUGUUAGAUCCCCGAUCGUCCCAACUGGGCUCCACUACUGAUCGUCAGGAAAAGACACAUAGUAACGACCACGUUCCUCGUCGAACUCCCACUUGAGAUCGACCCCAUCAUCCGCACUGGCAUCGUCGGCACCUGCAACUGUUUUGGUAGAAUCUGUGAGUCACGAGGACUCAGCAAUCUCACACCCGCGAGAUCAAGACUAUUUAAGCUGGUAGGAAAGGAUGGUGUAAUGCGGUGGAGCUGCAGCGGCAACAAGCAUAUAUGGUGGCUAACAUACGCAAGAGAGAGCGAGAAGAGAAGCAACGGAGCGGUCGUCAUCUAGCAAUGACCAAGAAGUGAUCCUGAACACCUACUUACGUCAUACAUAACUCAGGCCGUGUUCACUUCCCGGACUCCGCCGAGAAGAGACCAUCACGGCUACACACGCAGUUGAUGUAUUUUAAUUGGGUCAAGUGACAAGUUAUCUACAACCGGUCAUUAACAAAUUCCCAUCUGCCUCAUAACCGCGGGCACGGCUUUCGAAAGAUAAUACCCUGCAGUGGUGUCCCAACUUAGCCCAUCAUAAGCUCUCGCGGUCAACGAAGGAUAAACCUUCUCCCGGAAAGACCCGAUCAGUCUCGGAAUCCCGGUUUACAAGACAUCUCGACAAUGGUAAAACAAGACCAACAAAGCCGCCCGAAUGUGCCGACAAAUCCCGAUAGGAGCUGCACAUAUCUCGUUCUUAGGGCACACCGGAUUGUCCAAGCUUCCGAUAGGCCAGCCUAGAGUUGCCCCUGGUGGCCACCGGCGACUGACAGUUUAGACCAAUACUCAGAGGAGCACUGGCCCGGGGGUUUAAAAUAAAGAUGACCCUCGGGCUCGCGAAAACCCGGGGGAAAAGGCUUAGGUGGCAAAUGGUAAAACCAAGGUUGGGCCUUGCUGGAGGAGUUUUAUUCAAGGCGAACUGUCAAGGGGGUCCCAUAAAUCACCCGACCGCGUAAGGAACGCAAACUCAAGGAACAUAAUCCCGGUAUAACAGUAACUAGGGCGGCAAGAGUGGAACAAAACACCAGGCAUAAGGCCGAGCCUUCCACCCUUGACCAAAAUAUAUAGAUGCAUUAAUUAAAUAAGAGAUAUUGUGAUAUCCCAACAUAUCCAUGUUCCGACAUGGAACAAACUUCAACUUCACCUGCAACUAGCAACGCUAUAAGAGGGGCUGAGCAAAAGCGGUAACUUAGCCUAACAACGGUUUGCUAGGAAAAGAUGGUUAGAGGCUGACAUGGCAAAAUGGGUGACAUGAUAUAGCAAGUGAUAGGUAGCGUAGCAUGGAAAUAGAGCGAACAACUAGCAAAGCAAAGAUAGAAGUGAUUUCGAGGGGUGGUCAUCUUGCCUGCAAGGUUCUCAGAGUUGUCGAAAGCUUGAUCCUCGUAAGCGUACUCAACAGGUUCCUCGUUCAUGAACUCAUCUCCCGGCUCUACCCAAGACAAGAACACAAACAAACGGAACCACAAUCAACCACGAGAAAUGCGCAAGCAACAUGAUGCAAAACAUGUAUGAUAUGCGAUGCAUAUGCGUGCUCCGGAAGGAAAAUGAUGAACAUGGCAGUAACUUGGCAAACCAAGCAUGCCACUGGAAAGGUGAGAUGAUUUCGGUCGAAAUCGAUAUAAAGAUCACCGGAAACAGAUGCACGGUUUGCAAAUGGCAAGCAAAACAAGAAUGACACGAAACUGCGAUUAACAGCAUGAUAGGACUUAAAAUGCAACAAGCAACAAUGCUACAGCACUACAACAUAGAAACAAAGCAUAUGACAGUAAUCUACAGGAGAUUCUUGACAAAAGAUGAACACUGAGCUACGGCUAGUUCACAAGAUAUCAAGCUCAAACAAGCAUAGCAAAAGUGCAAAAGAUAACAGCAACUAGCCCUCUUCCAACAGAGAUUUGGGCAUCAAGAUGACCUCUAAUGAACAUGGUGCAAUUGAACAAAAUGAAGAGCAUCACGAGGCGAACAAUUUGACAUAUUACACGCACGAAUCGAAGCUACAUGCAAGGAGUUAUGGCAUCACGAACAGGGCAAUAUGCUGGGAAAGAUUGAGGACUUGGGAAUUUUCGGGGUCGCGAGAAAGUCAACUCACGAGGGAUCUUCCAGAUCCGAUCGAGCAAAUAGGCUCGGGCUCGGGCUCCGGCCUCGCUGGCGAUGGAGGAAGAGGAGGCGGCGAGGGAGGGAGGCGGCGCCGGUGGAGGGAGGCGGCGGUGGCGCGCCGGAGGCGGCGAGGGGCGCCGGCGGGCACGGGCNNNNNNNNNNNNNNNNNNNNNNNNNNNNNNNNNNNNNNNNNNNNNNNNNNNNNNNNNNNNNNNNNNNNNNNNNNNNNNNNNNNNNNNNNNNNNNNNNNNNNNNNNNNNNNNNNNNNNNNNNNNNNNNNNNNNNNNNNNNNNNNNNNNNNNNNNNNNNNNNNNNNNNNNNNNNNNNNNNNNNNNNNNNNNNNNNNNNNNNNNNNNNNNNNNNNNNNNNNNNNNNNNNNNNNNNNNNNNNNNNNNNNNNNNNNNNNNNNNNNNNNNNNNNNNNNNNNNNNNNNNNNNNNNNNNNNNNNNNNNNNNNNNNNNNNNNNNNNNNNNNNNNNNNNNNNNNNNNNNNNNNNNNNNNNNNNNNNNNNNNNNNNNNNNNNNNNNNNNNNNNNNNNNNNNNNNNNNNNNNNNNNNNNNNNNNNNNNNNNNNNNNNNNNNNNNNNNNNNNNNNNNNNNNNNNNNNNNNNNNNNNNNNNNNNNNNNNNNNNNNNNNNNNNNNNNNNNNNNNNNNNNNNNNNNNNNNNNNNNNNNNNNNNNNNNNNNNNNNNNNNNNNNNNNNNNNNNNNNNNNNNNNNNNNNNNNNNNNNNNNNNNNNNNNNNNNNNNNNNNNNNNNNNNNNNNNNNNNNNNNNNNNNNNNNNNNNNNNNNNNNNNNNNNNNNNNNNNNNNNNNNNNNNNNNNNNNNNNNNNNNNNNNNAGGCGACGACGGCGGGCCACGGGGGCCUCGCGGGCCGGCGCGACGGCGGCGACGGGCUGAUGACGUGGCGCGUGCUGAUUCGCCGGGCGGUGCGGGCGGACGUGUCCGGCGCGGGCGGACUUUGUCCGGUGGCGCGAGCUGGAAGACGCUAGGGUUUGACUGCGAUUGUAAUUUCGGGAUGCCCACAUAUUUAUAGGUAGAGGGAGCUAGGAGGCUCCAAAUGAGGUGCGGUUUUCGCCCACACGAUCGUGAUCGAAUGACCUAGAGCAUGGAAGAGAGUUUGGUGGGUUUUGGGCUUGUUUUUUAGGGGGUUUUUGCUGGACAUUCAAAUGGACAUUGCGGAUGCCCGGUUAACCGUUGGAGUACCAAACGACCUCCAAAUGGAACGAAACUUGACCGGUGGUCUCCGGGUGGUAUAUUAAGGCCACUUGACAAGCCUCGGUCCAUUCCGAGAAAGUUUGACACCCGCACACGAAAGAAAACAAAAGGAGUGCACCGGGGGAGAUAGGAGCGCCGGAUUGCAAAACGGACAACGGGGAAAAUGCUUGGAUGCAUGAGACGAACACGUAUGCAAAUGCAAUGCACAUGAUGAGAUGAUAUGAAAUGCAUGACAUGACAAAAUGAAAAAAAGAAAAACAAAACCCGACCACGCAGGGAAUAUCAUAACACAUAGCCGAAAAUGGCAAGAGUCGGAGUUACAAAUAUGGCAAGUUACAUGCGGGGUGUUACAUUGGGUCAUUAAAGAGCUCAAUUAUGAUUCAAACUUGCCGGUGAGAAGAGACUAUAUUUGACAUUAGCUCACUUGAUGAGUGGAGAACCCAGGCCUAUGAGAAUGCCAAAAUAUUUAAAGAAAAAGUUAAAAGAUGGCAUGACAAACGGAUACAAAAGCGUGAGUUUAAUGUAGGUGAUUAUGUUUUGUUACAACUCUCGUUUAAGGUUUUUUGCAGGAAAACUCCUCUCUAAAUGGGAAGGUCCUUACAUUAUCGAGGAGGUCUAUUGUUCCGGUGCCAUAAAAAUCAACAACUUCGAAGGUACAAAUCCGAAGGUGCUGAACGGUCAAAGAGUCAAACAUUAUAUCUCACAUAAUCCCAUAAAUGUUGAAACCAAUGUUAUUGAUACCGUAACCUCGGAGGAGUACAUUAGGGACACUUUCCAGAACGUUUCAGAGUCCGAAAAGGAAUAGGUAUGUGGUACGGUAAGUAAACCGACUCCAAAACAGUUCUAAUAGCAAUUUUUCUCCGUUUUGGAAUAUUUAAGAAAAUAGGAAAAUAAGAAGUAGUCUGAAAGGUACACCAGGCAUCCACGAGGGUGGAGGGCGCGCCCCCCUACCUCGUGGGCACCUCGUGAGCCCUCCGGACUCCAUUUUCUUGCAUGAUACUUCUUUAGUCAGUGAAAAUUCAUUAUAUAAACUCCCAAAGGUUUUGACCACCGUACCACGCAAAUAUCCCCUGUUUUUGUUCCGAGCUAUUUUCUGCCAGAGUUUUCAAGGCCAGGCAUUAUGUCGUCCCCCUCCUCCAACAACGCGGGAGACGAUGCUUGGCUAAUGAAGAUAGAGAUGAAGAGAGAAGAACUUGGGGAGAUAAACAAGGGUGAUAGGAUCAAGAAGGCCACAGAGGAUCAAGCUCUGGCAGCAGAAGAAGAAGACAUCCUUCAACCUUACUAUAACCAUCUUACCCCUACUGAAAUAGAAGCUUUCAAGAUAAUUGAAAUAGUUCGGGUGCAAAACAAGUAUCUCACUCGUGAAAAUAUUUUGUUGCAAGAAUACAUCACCGCACUCAAGGGCAUUAUUCGCAAAUUGGAGAAUCUCCUACGCUCGAUGUGUGACACGACUUCAUCAACAACUCCAUCAUCACCACCUACAAAGAAAGAGACAUAAAUACAUGGGUAUGGGCACUCCCCUUGGCAACUGCCAAGCUUGGGGGAGGUGCCCCGGUAUCGUAUCACCAUCGCAAUUCUAUCUUUAAUGUUUUUCUUAGUUCGAUCCUUUUGGUUAUAUCUUGAUCUAGUAGAAUAAAGUUUAGUAUGAUCUAGCUUUGAGUUUUUGUGUUGAUCCUUAUCUAUGUAAUUGAGUCCGUGAGCUAUAUAUAAUAAAGAUUAGUGUUGAGUCAAGGGCUUGGUUAUCUUGCUAUGAUCUUGAGGGAAUAAAAAAAGGAGUAAGAAUAAAAAUAAAUAAAGGGAUCAUAUUGAUCUUAUGGAAAGUAAUGACUUCACAUAUAAAGAGUAUGAUGAAUAAAAGUUGUUGAGAGUUGACAAACAUAGUUUUGGUCAUCGUUGCAAUUAAUAGGAAGUAAUAAAGAAAGAUAGGUUUUCACAUAUAAAUAUACUAUCAUGGACAUCUUUUAUGAUUGUGAGCACUCAUUAAAAUAUGACAUGCUAAACAGUUGAUGUUGGACAAGGAAGACAACGUAAUGCGUUAUGUUUCCUUACAUCCGAAAUAAAUUACAUUGUCAUGGAUCAUCCAACAUGUUGAGCUUGCCUUUCCCCCUCAUGCUAGCCAAAUUCUUUGCACAAAGUAGAGAUACUACUUGUGCUUCUAAAGAUCUUUAAACCCAGUUUUGCCAUGAGAGUCCACCAUAUCUACCUAUGGAUUGAGUAAGAUCCUUCAAGUAAGUUGUCGUUGUUGCAAGCAAUAAAAAUUGCUCUCUAAAUAUGCAUGAUCUAUUAGUGUGGAGAAAAUAAGCUUUAUACGAGCUUGUGAUAUGGAAGAAAUAAAAGCGACGAACUGCAUAAUAAAGGUCCCUAUCACAAGUGGCAAUAUAAAGUGACGUUCUUUUGCAUUAAGAUUUUGUGCAUCCAACCAUAAAAGCACAUGGCAACCUCUGCUUCCCUCUUUGAAGGGCCUAUAUUUUUUUGUCUUAUACCUUAUACAAUAGUCAUGGUGAUCUUCACCUUUCCUUUUUACACUUUAUCCUUUGGCAAGCACUAUGUGUUGGAAAGAUCCUGAUAUAUAUAUAUAUCCAAUCGGAUGUGGGUUUUCAUGAAGCAUUAUUGUUGACGUUACCCUUGAGGUAAAAGGUUGGGAGGCAAAACUAUAAGCCCCUAUCUUUCUCUGUGUCCGGUUAAAACUUCAUACCCAUAAGUAUUGCGUGAGUGUUAGUAAUUGUGAAAGACUAAAUGAUAGUUGAGUAUGUGGACUUGCUGAAAAUCUCUUACAUUGACUCUUUCUGAUGUUUCGAAAGAUUGCAAUUGCUUCAAUGACUGAGAUUAUAGCUUGCUAGUUUCUCAAUGAAGAUUCCGAUUCAUACUUUACAUUGUGAAUAGAUUGUUACUUCAGCAUAAGAAAUCAUAUGACAAUAUAUAUAUGUUGCUAUUCUAAGAAUGAUCAUGAUGCCCUCAUGUCCGUAUUUUAUUUUAUCGACACCUUUUUCUCUAAACAUGUGGACAUAUUUUUCGAUAUCGGCUUCCGCUUAAGGACAAGCGAGGUCUAAGCUUGGGGGAGUUGAUACGUCCAUUUUGCAUCAUGUUUUUAUAUCGAUAUUUAUUGCAUUAUGGGCUGUUAUUACACAUUAUGUCACAAUACUUAUGCCUUUUCUGUCUUAAUUUAUAAGGUUUACAUGAAGAGGGAGAAUGCCGGCAGCUGGAAUUCUGGGCUGGAAAAGGAGCAAAUAUUAGAGACAUAUUUUGUACAACUCCAAAAGUCCCGAAACUCCACGAAAGUCAGUUUUGUAAUAUAUUAAAAAUAUUGGGCGAAGAAAGCACCAGAGGGGGGCCACCCACCGUCCACGAAGGUGGAGGGCGCGCCCUACCCCCUGCGCUCGCCCCCUGCCUCGUGGGCCACUUGGCAGCCCCCCGAUACUGAUCUUCUGGUAUAAGGUGUGUUUUGCCCUAAAAAAAUAACAAGGAAGCUUUUGAGAUGAAACGCCGCCGUCUCGAGGUGGAACCUGGCGAAACCAAUCAACGCCUGCUUAUUCACAUAGACACGUAUGGUUAGGCUCCUGCGAAAAUUAUUUGAUCCUCUGUCCGGCUUUUCUUUUCGAACACCGGACGGAGUCUCAGGGGCUACUGUCUAUACUAUGACAUUAUUUUUGCAUAAUUACGUUGCCUACCUCAAAGCCAAUUAGAAGGCUGGUGCAGGCUUCGGUCAGUCUGCUCUUAGCGGACUGAACCCUCUCAACCAUCAUACCCAUGAGGAUACGGUGUUCCUCAACAAUGGAAGCACUUUGCAGGGCUUCCAGUAGAGUAUCCGGUGCCUCCGGAUGGUCAGAGGUCACCGGCGGAAUAGGUGCACCUCCUUCUUUAGAAGGAGGCUGCUUGCCUGAUUCCGGAGCCGUAUGGGCCCCCGGAAUAGUAUUCGGCUGGGGGCCGAAUUGGAUAUGGCCCCCAUCACCAGUCUCCAGGGGGAUUUGCUCCCCCAUGUGUCCGGCGGCAGAGUUAUCACCCUCUGGCGCCACCCUGACGACCUCCUGUACCUCUCCCUGGCCUGGGAAGGUCCUUCGGCAUAACACCUCGGCGUCGUUCGCGGCCUUGGGAGAGGAGGCCGCAGGAAGUGACCCGCUGUCCAUCACAUUUGGAUCCAGCGAAUCCCCAAAGAUGAGGAUCGCUGGGGGCGGGCGUGGGCCAGACUGCAGCGCAUGAUUCGACAUAUUAAAACCACGAAGUAAAGAAGUUGGAUAUAUGUGUGUAUAAGUGCCUUUGAGUAUUUACGAUUCGGCCAGGGGCUUCUCCCUGGGGUGCCACUAGCUUGACGGCGUUCAUCUUUGCCCAGGGGCUUCUCCCUGCUAUCAGUGUCCAACAUGGAGUUGUCCGCGAGGGAGACCCUUCCCUUCUUGGACGCCUCAGCCUCCAGAUUCGUGGAGGUCGCCCUUUUCUUCCUUCCCCCCUCAUUGGGAGAGUUGCUUUCCUCCUCCUGCUCCUCGUCCUCGGUGGCGGGGGAGGAGUGGGUUCAGCGUCUUCGGACGUCACGUCCGAAGUACCUUUACGGCGAAGGCCGCCUCUUCCCGCCUGGCCCUUCUUCUUAGCCUUCUUCUCCGACGCCUGUUUGGGCACCGGGACUAGCAUCUUCGUCAGAAGUGGGAUAGCUGGGUUUUCAGGCAGCGGAGCCGGACACUGGAUCUGCUCCGCCUUCUUUGUCCAGCCCUGAAAAGACAGAUAGGGAAGCUUAGACAUCUUCCUUGAAUGUACAGGUGAAGGAUGCACCUUGAAAUACGAAAAACUUACCGGACUGGUGGGAUGGGUCAGGUUGUACCCACGGUCCUAGGUCGUCUUCGGCCACGUCUCAUUGGCCCUAAAAAGCACCUGCCAGAUGCCUUUGUGUGUAGCACCGAAGAACUGUUGCAUGGUCUGGUGCUUGGCCGGAUCGAACUCCCACAAAUGGCAAGUCCGGCUUUGACAAGGAAGGAUCCGGCAAAAAAUCAUCACUUCGAUCAUGCUGACGAGCUUAAUGUUCUUGUCCACCAUGCUCUUGAUGCGCGUCUGCAGCGCUGUCAGCUCGUCCGACGAAGCCCAGUACAGGCCCUUCUCUAGCCAGGAGGUGAGCCGCAUCGGGGGUCCAGACUUAAAUUUGGGAGCCGCGGCCCAGGUGGUGUCACGGGGCUCUGUGACGUAGAACCACUACUGUUGCCUCCCUUUGACGGUCUCCAUGAAGGUACCUUUGGGCCAUGAGACAUUGGACGACUUUCUCACCAUAGCACCUCCGCACUCUGCGUGUUGACCACCCACCACCUUCGGCUUCACAUUAAAGAUCUUUAGCCACAAUCCGAAGUGGGGUGGGAUGUGGAGGAUGGCCUCGCACACGACAAUGAAUGCCAAAAUGUUGAGGAAAGAAUUUGGAGCUAGAUUGUGGAAAUCUAGCCCAUAGUAGAACAUGAGUCUGCGGACGAAGGGGUGGAGAGGAAACCCUAACCCACGGACAAAGUGGGGAAUGAACACCACCCUCUCAUGGGGCUCCGGGGUUGGGACGAUCUACCCCUUGGCCGGAAGCCGGUGGGCGAUUUCCUGGGCCAAGUACCCCGCCUCCCGGAGCUUCGUGAUGUCCUUCUCCGUGACGGAGGAGGCCAUCCACUUGCCCUGCGCUCCAGAUCCGUACAUGGACGGAGUGCUUUUUUUGAGGUGGAAAUGAUGGAAGCUUGGGUGCUGGAGCUUGAGAAUGGGUGGGCAGAGAGAAAGAAGGCAUGGGUGAAAGGGUGAAUCCUUAUCUCUUUAUGAAGGCAGCGAAUACCAAGCGCCUCCCCAUUCACCUUAAAACUCGCCUAUUCCCCAAGGGCCGUGCAGAUGGCGCGGUUGGAUUACCCACGCUCGUAUUAAUGAGAAUCCUGCAAUAAGGGGACACGAUCUCUGCUUCGACAAGACGUGCCAAUGAAAACCGCAUCUCGAAACAUGGAGCGGGAGGCUAAAAAACGGUUCGAAAUAAUGACCGGGCAGGGACGUAAUGUCUCGCUACAAAAGUUAUUAGUAGAUGGGACUCAUGAAAUAUUAUACUCUCUGCGGUUGUGUGUGGUACUUGUUUUGCAGAGCCGGACAUGUUUUCUGUGUUCGAGGGCUGCUUUGGAGUACUCGGAGGAGGAACCCGCCUUGCAAUGCUGAAGACAAUCUGCACGCCGGACACAUCGUCAUUGAAGCCUGGUUCAGGGGCUACUGAGGGAGUCCUGGAUUAAGGGGUCCUCGGGAGUCUGGGCUAUGUGACGUGGGCCGGACUGAUGGGCCAUGAAGAUACAAGACAGAAGACUUCCUCCCGUGUCCGGAUGGGACUCACCAUUGCAUGGAAGGUAGGCUUGGCGUUCGGAUAUGAAGAUUCCUUCCUCUGUAAACCGACUCUGUGCAACCCUAGGCCCCUCCGGUGUCUAUAUAAACCGGAGGGUUUAGUCCGUAGAGGCAAUCACAAUCAUACAGGCUAGACAUCUAGGGUUUAGCCAUUACGAUCUCGUGGUAGAUCAACUCUUGUAAUCCUCAUAUUCAUCAAGAUCAAUCAAGCAGGAAGUAGGGUAUUACCUCCAUCAAGAGGGCUCGAACCUAGUUAAACAUCGUGUCCCCUGUCUCCUAUUACCAUCGACCUUAGAUGCACAGUUCGCGACCCCCUACCCGAGAUCUACCGGUUUUGACACCGACACCUGCGCAAGUACAUACAAAGGUUUAGCCGUGUGCAGUACAACAUCCCAGAUGUUCACCCCGCCGCUAUCAUCAGUGCAUUCCAUCAGAAUGUGCGCAACCGCAAGAUGCGUGAAGAGCUGGCGACGAACAAGGUCAAGGAUGUAGCCGAGCUUUAUGUUCUGGCUGACAGAUGUGCUCGGGCUGAAGAAGGAAGGAAUUACCCCGGCGAAGAUGCUAGCGCGGAAACCGACUCCACAGAUGAAGACGCUGCCGCCCCAGCAAAGAAGGGCCGACACCGCAAUAGGAAGCGUAAGGGCAAGACCGUGCUUGCCGUUGAGGGAUUCGGCGACCCCGGCGCCGCCAAGAAGGCCAAGGCUGACGACCCCGACAAGGAAGUUGCCGGGUGUGCCGCUUGCCGGGCCUUGGCGGCUGCCGACAAGCCAGGAGGCUCCGACAAGCAGUAUUGCAAGAUCCAUCACACCAAGGGCCACGACCUCUAGAACUGCCGACAGGUUGAGCUCCUUGCAGAGAAAUAGAAAACCGAAUAUGAGAGGCGAGACAAGGAGAAGGGCUAGGAUGGAGCUGAGGGGUCCGCCAAGAAGCAUGGCGGCCAAGGAGGUUGCCGCGGCAAGGAUAAUCAACAAGAGAGGCCCGCUCGGGGCCGUGACAAGAAGGAGGAGGAUGAUGAUCAUGGUGAGGACGAUGAGUCCGGCGAGCACGAGUUCCAGAAAGCUACGGAGGCCAUGUGCGUCGACGGUGGCGCCUCGUUGCAUACCUCUCACCGCCAGCUGAAGCAGUGGGCGCGUGAGGUCACUGCGGCAGAGCGAUCAUUUGAUGCCCAGAAGCCACUGAAGUGGUCCAGCACACCUAUCAUAUUUGACACCGGGGAUCACCCUGAUCGCACAACUGCGGUCAGGUGUUUGCCGUUGUUGGUUUAACCAACAAUACGCAACCACAAGGUGACAAAGGUGCUAGUUGAUGGUGGGGCUGGUUUGAACUUGAUCUCGCCUGAUGUGAUCGAGAGACUGCAAAUCCCCGAUGGAGAUCUCGAGGAGACAGGCACGUUUCAAGGAGUCAACCCAGGGAGGAGUCAGCCGAAGGGUAAAAUCAUGUUGCCCGUUACAUUUGGGGGCGAGCUGAACUACAGGACGGAGAAGAUCAUUUUUGAUGUCGCCAAGAUCCCCCUGCCCUACAAUGGGAUCCUUGGCCGCCCAGCGCUGGCUAAGUUCAUGGCGGCAUCACAUUACGCCUACAACAUGUUGAAGAUGCCCAGGCCACUGAGCAUCAUCACCGUCCCCUCCGACAAGAAAGACGCACUCAUCUGAGCUGAGCAACUCUACCGGGAGGCAGUUGCCGCAACUGCCGCCAAGGCACUUGCUCCUGCCACUGUAGCCCCAGGGGGGGGAGAAGACUGGCAAGACCUCUUCCAACAAGACCUCCUGCACCAACUCCGACGAGUGCCCCUCUUCGGAGUGCAGCGCUCCCGUCGAGGACAUGCUAGAGAGCUCCACCGCUAAGAGAAAGAAAUCCAAGGCAGCACCACCAGAGACCAAGAAGUUGCCCGUCAAGGAGGACUGCACGGGCGGGGCUUUUACUAUAAGCUCCACCCUUGACAGCAAAUAGGAAAGUGCGCUCGUCGCCUUCCUGCGGGCAAAUGUCGAUACGUUUGCAUGGCAAGCAUCCGACAUCCCCGGCGUUCCCAGGAAGAUGAUUGAGCACCAUCUUCCUAUCUGUCCUCAUGCACGGCCUGUCAAGCAGAAGGUCAGGAAGCAAGCUUUGGAGCGGCAAGAGUUUAUCAUCAAAGAGAUCAGGAUGUUAGAGGCGGCAGGCUUGGUUAGAGGAGUGCUCCACCCCACGUGGUUGGCCAAUCCAGUGGUAGUGCGUAAGGCAAAUGGGAAGUGGAGGCUAUGUAUUGAUCACACAGAUAUCAAUAAGGCCUAUCUAAAGGAUCCUUUCCCUUUGCCACACAUAGACCAGAUUGUGGACUCCACUACCGGGUGUGACCUGCUGUCAUUCCUCGACGCCUAUUAAGGAUACCAUCAGAUCUUCAUGAUGAAGGUAGACAAAGAAAAGACCGCGUUCAUCACCCCGUGUGGUACAUACUGUUUUGUAUGAAUGCCCUUCGGGUUGAAAAGCGCUGGUUCGACGUUUGCCCGAGCGGUCCAAAUUGGUUUAGCCCCAGCUGCAUAGACAUAUGGAAGCUUACAUGGAUGAUAUAGUGGUCAAAACCAAGGACAGGGCUACGCUCAUGCAGGAUCUGGAAGAAACAUUUGCGAAUCUGCACAAGAUCGACCUCAAGCUCAACCCACAGAAGUGCGUGAUCGGUGUCCCGUCCGGCAAACUUCUUGGAUUCUUUGUGUCUCAAUGCGGGAUUGAAGCGAAUCCCGACAAGAUCAAAGCGAUUGAGCAGAUUGAGGCAUCGAGAUGGGUCAAAGACGUCCGUAGGCUCGCCGGCUGCGUUGUUGCUCUAAGUAGGUUCAUCUCCAAAUCUGCUGAGUGUGCCCUCCCCUUUUUCAAAGUUUUGAAAAAGGCUGGUCCAGUGAAAUGGACUCUGGAGGCAGAGGCAGCGCUAUAGGAUUUGAAGAAGUACCUCUCCUCCAUGCCAAUACUAGUCGCACCUAAACCACAAGAGUCGUUGCUACUGUAUCUAGCGGCGACGAAUCAAGUGGUUAGUGUUGCGCUAGUAGCAUACAAGGAACUUGAGGAGGAAGCAGCAGCGGCAGCGGAGCCGUCAGAUGGUGGGCCGGGGCUCUCCCCGACAGGGCUUGACGCCGGUGAGGCGGAACUCCCGGUCCCGGCAAGACAGAAUCUACGCGGAUGGGAGAAUUUGAACAGAAGAAGAAGGUGGUGCAGCACCCGGUUUAUUUUGUCAUUUCCCUCUUGCAGGGGGCCAGAUCAAGGUAUUCAGGGAUGCAGAAGCUACUUUUCAGCCUUCUUAUGGCCUCGAGAAAGCUGCGUCACUAUUUCCAAGCACAUGAGAUCACCGUCGUCACCCGCCUCCCUCUGCAGCGAAUCUUGCACAACCCGGAUGUGACUGGGAUGAUUGUGGAAUGGGCAUUGGAAAUGUCGAGCUUCGGCCUCAAGUUUGAAAGUACUUCAACAGUCAAGAGCCGAGCCUUGGCGGAGUUCAUAGCAGAAUGGACCUCAACGCCCGACGAGGAAAUUCAACAGACCACCUUUCCCGGCAAGGAGACGGGCCGUGAUCGGAUCAUGUACUUCAUUGGGGCUUUCUCGCUACAAGGUGCAGGUGCCGGCGUGCUAGUCAUUGCACCCAGUGGAGAGCACCUCAAGUACGUGGUCCAGAUGCACCUUCCCCGGCAAAAAUCAACAAACAACAUGGCAAUGUAUGAGGGAUUGCUUGCCGGUCUCAGGAUCGCGGCAGACCUCGGAAUCAGGAAGCUCAUCAUCAGAGGUGAUUCGCAGCUCGUCGUCAAGCAAGUUAACAAGGAUUACCAGAGCCCGUUGCUGGAAACCUAUGUGGAUGGGGUGAGGAAGUUGGAGGAGCAUUUUGACGGUCUACAAGCGGAGCAUGUUCCCCGAGCAGAGAACAACAUUGCCGACGACUUGUCAAAACGCGCUGCCCUCAAGUUGCCUGUGGAACCAGGUACAUUUGUGCUUCAACUAACCCAGCCAUCCGUUGAGUCAUUAGCAGGGCAGAACAAGCGAAGGCAAGCAGGCCCCGACAAGUUCUUCUCCGCUGAGCUCCCAGGAGCUGCCGACAAGGACGUUGCCAGGUGCCCCAAGCUUGCCGAGGGGCAGCAACCUCCGGCAGGACCCCAAGUCCUCGCCAUAGAGGCAGCUGCCCCCACGGCCGAAGAUGAGCCUUUAGUCCUUGUCGUCGAGCCUUAGGCUCCAGCAUGGGCGCAGCACACCGUCCGUUUUCUCCAAACAGGGGAACUCCCUGAGGAACAGGAAGAACCAGAGAAAGUGGCCCGUUGAUCCAGCAUGUACCAGUUUGUGGAUGAUGCCCUAUACAGAAGGAGACCGAACGACAUGAAAUUCAAGGGCAUUCCUCGGGAGGACGGACUGGAGCUAUUGGCAGAGAUACAUGGAGGCAUGUGAGGCUCCCACAUAGGGUCAAGAGCCCUUGCCGGCAAAGCAUUCCGGCAAGGUUUCUUCUGGCCCACCGCUCUCCAGGAUGCAACCUCACUAGUAACCAAGUGUGAAGCGUGCCAGUUCCAUUCAAAGAAGCUUCAUCAGCCAGCCCAAGCUCUCCAGACAAUCCCUCUUUCCUGGCCAUUUUCGGUCUGGGGGCUCGACAUACUGGGCCCUUUUCCCCGCGUUGUUGGGGGCUUUGAGUACUUGUACGUCGCGAUCGACAAGUUCACAAAGUGGCCGGAAGUGGAGCCGGUGAGAAAGGUGACAACACAGUCGGCCGUCAAGUUCUUCAAGGGGCUAGUCUGCCGUUUUGGCGUGCCCAAUAGGGUCAUCACCGAUGACGGCACGCAGUUCACGAGCCGCACCUUCAUGCAAUACAUCCAAGACCUCGGUGGCAAUGUUUGUCUUGCUUCUGUUUCUCAUCCUAGAAGUAACAGCCAGGCUGAGAGAGCAAAUGCAGAAGUGUUGCGUGGCCUCAAGACCAGCACUUUUGACAAGCUACACAAGUGCGGAAAGUGCUGGAUUGACGAGUUGCCGACGCUUCUUUGGUCGAUCAGAACGACGCCAAAUCGAGCCACCGGCCAGACACCCUUUGCCCUGGUAUACGGGGCAGAAGCAGUUCUCCCCAUGGAACUCAUAUACGGGUCACCUCGAGUGCUUGCUUAUGAAGAGCUUGAGCAAGAGCAGUUGCGCCAAGAUGAUGCGACGCUCCUUGAGGAAGAUCGUCUUUGGGCUGCUGUGCGGGCCGCUCGCUACCAGCAAGCCUUGCACCACCACCAUAGCCGCAAGGUUCAUACCCGAAGCCUUGAGGAAGGCGACCUUGUUCUUUGGCGAGUUCAAUCCGCCAAGAAUUCCAACAAGUUUACGCCAAAGUGGGAAGGCCCUUAUCGGGUAAUACGAGUCACCAGGCCCGGCGCAGUCCGCCUGGAGACCGAAGAUGGGAUUCCAGUGAGCAACUCCUGUAACAUCGAAUAUCUUCGCAAGUUUUACCCAUAAGGCGCGGUUGCCGGACCUCCCGGCAUACCACUUUUUUGUACAAGCCUUGGCGGCAAGGCAUGUCACCCCUUUGUACAAAGCCAGGCGCAGACCGUGAGCAUCAAAUAAAUAAAUGAAGCGCUGGCACCCUAGAAUUUAGCAUGCACACUAGGUUGAGUCUCUCUCUCUGUUUGGGUUGAUAGUGCUUGGCGGCAACUAACCCCUAGCAUAGAGGUCAAGUCAUGUCUUUCUGUCUCUUCCAGUCUGUUCUUGGUUCGCAGGCUGCACAGGCGUUCUGCAGAGCCAUUUGGAGGAAAGAAGGCGGAUUGACACCCCCGACCCUGGCAAGCCAAGGUUGCUGGGGGGCUGCAAAUUCAGAUAAGUUUUCUCUCCCACGCUAUGCGUUUCCGUAUGAAACUUGAACGUACGAAACUUUGCCCACUCCUAUACCACCGUGCUUCCUCUUUCCUAUGCCUGAAAUCCCUUUCAGGCCGGAAUGUGGUUGUAGUUGCAGUGGAAGGGAAACAAGCGAAGGGCCCGAUCCUACUUUACCCCUACUCCCGCCAAGGGCAUGGGUAUGGUCAUGGUAUAAAGCGGAGGGACCGCAAGGUAUGUUGCCGGGCGACGUUGUUUGUUUGAAAUAAUAAGGACUCGCUCCUUAGUGUGGGCCUCGCUCACGCACAAAAGAACCCGGCCAGCAUAGAACCUUUUUCAUCAAUACGUUGAUUAAACAAGUACAAUUCAUAUAGAAUAUAAACAUGAGCAAGGGGUUACAAGGUCUAAAUUCGACAAGUGCCCGCAGGCUUAAAGAUCUAAAAAAGAUAAGAUGCCCGUAAUCCCUUUCUUGUCUCCCUCCUCAGGAAGCGGAUCAGGAUAAACUAGAGGGCAAAAGGAGUGCGUAGGAGAGGUACGAGCAGCAGAAGACACCAAGAGAGCAUCCCGGCGGCCGCCCAGGAGAGGGUUGGUGAUGACGGUGCCGGGGAAGAAGUCGAAAGAUGAGGCAGCGGGCCAGCAAUACACGACGAAGGCAUCGAUGCCAUCGUACUCCGACUUGAUGGCCCGCCACCCGCCUUCUUCGUCUUCUCCGGCCUUCCAGCGCCGGCCGCCAGAAGUGACGGCCCCGAGAAGUUCAAGGAGCUGGCUCGAGGAGCCACCGCCAAGAACUGCCCCCCCCGGCAAGUCGUCCUGCCGGCAGAAGGCCAGGUGCAGAUGGUGCUGCUGCUAGCGCCACCUAGGGACGGGGUGUCCGUCAUCUAGUCGGACUAGUCCCCGUCGUCCUCCCCACUGGUCCCCUCCUCAUUGCCAUCGCUAGAGGAGGAGCUCUUGUCGUCGGUCGAGCUCUCCGCAAAGCACCCUAACCUGUGUCCCGAGCGCCCGAAGACCUUGACGGAGAGCAGGUCGCUCUUCACUAAUUUCAAGAGGAGAACGUGCCCCUUCAUCAAGUAGUGGGCGCGUGCGAAGGUUUGCCAACCCCGACAAAGGAGCAUCACAUGAGAGAUGCGGAACCUUGUGUUCACCCACAUGUCGCCGUUGCAACACCCGUUCAUGUGGAGCCUCAACCUCGGUGGCUAGUCGAUCUCCAGCACCCUCGCGAACGCCUCGGGAAGGCGAAGGCGGCUACACGGCGGCUCGCGUAGCUGCAGGAUGAACUCCAGCUCUGUGUCCCCGACAUGGCCGCUCGACGAAGCAGAAGGAGACGGUGGCGGAGAUGGUGACGGAGAUGGCGAUGACGCGGAUGUCCCCCUUCCGCGCCCGCCUCUGCCUCGACCGCCUCCCCGACCGCGGCCCCGUCCAACACCUCCACCCCGAGCGUGGCCUUCGCCUUGGGCGGCUGGCUCUUGCUUGACCGCCGUGGCUCUCUGGCGGAAGGAGGACCUGGUCGCCUCCGUGGAAGAACGGCCGCGACCACGCCCUCUCGCCAUGGCAGUGGAUGGAGAAUGGAGACGAAGGGAAGACACGAGAAGAUGCCUCUCCUCCUCCUCCCGAGUCCCCUUUUUAUAGCCGAGCGGGGAAGGCUAAAGACUGGCCCUACGCCUUCGAGGAGCCCGUUCAAGUCUGGCUCAUUAAGUUGGUGACGAGCGAGGUCAUCGAGCGCCCUCCCCGCCCAAUCAAAGGCGCAUGAUUAUCGGCCAUAGCGCGCCUUCCCAUAUCCCGUGCGUCUUUCUCCUACCCUACGCCGUGCAUGCGGCGUACGUGGCGAAAGGGGCAGGUGUAGUGGGAAACAUGGAACAACGGUUCCAAGGCGGGGAGAGUAAAUGAGCAGUGGCCCUGCAGUUUUCCUUUUGUUAUAGGGAAGACGCGACCUCUUUACUGUCAACCGCGGGAUGACGCAAGCAUGUUGCGGUCAUUCCACGCACAACGCCCACAUCACGCACUCAACGAGGGUCGUGGGGAAGCGCAACUGGCGAAGGAGUUACCGCAGUCAAAACUCUGCCACACACGCCCGCGCACCGUUCUGGGCCUGGCCCAACAACGCUCGCCCAGGCCCAGGGGCUCCUGUCGGUGUACAAAAGUAGGGUCCUUUUGUACCCAUUUACUUGUGCGCGGGCAGUUGUAGCCACACCUGCGGCCAUCCUUGGCGGGGCAGAGGAAGCAGAGAUACAAGACUACCAGGGCAGCGCCCAAGCCAGAGGCGAGAGGAGCAAAGGGACAAGAUGGGUUUUUCCCAGCACGAACCUUGCCGGGGCGGCUACACAGCCCCGGCAAGAGCCUUGCCGCGGCGACUUGCCCAACACCAGCAAGGCCGCCACCCUGGAGCCUGAGAGUUCCGACACCAUCGACAACAUUGGAACCAAGGAUCGGGAGGCGCCUGCAUGGUGGCAUGCAGAUCUUUGUGAAAACCAAAGGCCUGCAAGACUAGAUGAGAACCAGAAGACGAAGGCCCCUGGCAAGAUCCUUGCUGGGGACGACCACAAGACCCCGGCAAGACCCUUGCCAGGGGCAUCUGCAGGGCUGCAGCCAGGCCAACACCUACCAAGGCUCGGCCGCCCCCUGGCCACUCCAACAUGACAAGCGCCUGCAUGGCAGCGUGCAGCUUCCAGGCCAACUAGGCACACACCUACGUGGUAGCAAGCCACCUCUAGGCCAACCAGCCCAGCACAUGCGUGGUGGCAUGCAAAUCUUCGUGAAGACCCUGCCACCACACCAGCUCAGCAGCCUGCCAGCUAGCGUGGCGCUGCAUGCUUCGUCAGCUUGGACGCGCGCUGGAGCAAGGCGAGGCGGCGACGGACGGGAGGAGCUUCUUUGACGUCCCCGAUAAAGCAAGAGGACACGUCGGCGACGCAUUAAACGCGUUUUGUCCCAUGAUGUCAGAGCUAGUCUUGUACACACUACAUACUUUCCACCUCCUGUGUGCCACUGUGGCGACCCCUUUGACGUAUAAAAGGAGGCCCGAGGCGUACUGAGGGAGGAUUCGGACUUUUUGGGCUAGGCAUGCACCGCAGCUAGUUCAAGAGCUCAAAAACACCAAAUAUACACCAAAGCAGGACUAGGGUAUUACGCAUCGUUUGCGGCCCGAACCUGGAUAAAAUUCCCCCGUGUUGAUCUUCUAAACCCGCUCUUUCCACAGCCCCGCGCCCUGUCAACCAUAGUAGGGAUUCCCUGUGAUCCCAUAGGUGUCGUUCUUGAAUCCCGACACGGUAAUUGUUGCCAAACGUGUGCCAUGGAGUCUAGCAUGGCAGAUGGGUUACGCAGAAAACUCGUGUGCGAUGGGGCACAAAUCGCACACAGUUCAUAUGUUGGCCCGUGUGCCUUACAUACUGUUUCCCAAACGGUUCGUUGCGACAGACCGUAUGGUUUCACUGCGUCAUUAGAAACCCUUAAUCACUGAUACCACAUGUGCGAAAGAAUUUAGGGUGUGCUGCAUCUCACACGAUUAUAGUUUGGAAGGCCUCUGGAUCACUGCUCCAUAUCCCCGACGGUUUUUGGGUCGUGUGGGAAGGACACCCUAUCGCACACACUCACUUGGCGAUGGUCCCAAAUGCCGUCGCGGAAAGGGGUUAAAAACCAUUUGUAUAGGACCGACGCGUACCAGUGCGUGUCUUAUUGUUAAUCCUGUCAAGUAUGCCGUGCUUGAAGGUGUAAACACAAAUUUCCCUCUGACUAUGAGUUCUUCAACUGAACCAUAUGAGAGAAAUGAUGUAUAUAUAGAGUAAACCAUAUAUAUAGCAGUCAGUCAGUUAGCUCAUAGAUAGCAUGAAGUUCUGACUUAUAAUUCAAGCAGUUCAGAUCAUGAAAGUACUUAUUACAAAUCACAUCAAAACAUGAAGCGUUCAAUAUGCACAAGUACUUAUUACAAUCAACCUCGAAACCUUAACCAAUCAUGGCAAACGUGAUUCUAGCCAUAUGAUCCUCGAGUUCAAAAAGUUGAGGAUGACAACUUGCUCAGACUUCAGGCCACUAUCAAUGACAAAUUCCUUCCAGCCUUUCUGAAGAUACAGCCGUCCAUCAAUGCCUACACGGUACUUGGCUGGUUUUAGGUGUCCAUUGCUAAGAAAAACUUGGAGAAUGCCCUUCUUCUUGAGCCGGAGAUACCUAACAACUCGUCGGGGGCUUUUAUGCAAAAAGUAAUAAAACUAUUUGAGGACGAUACUAGCAGUACAAUUCUCAUACUGUGCACAGAGCAGUAAAAACCUGCACACAGUACAAACACGAGCAGGAUGAAUUACACAACAGUCCAACAAGAAAUGCAGAUAAAACAAAAUAUAGUAUGCAAUAUGGAACUUGCAAAUAUGCAGUAUGCUUCUAACUAGCAUGCAUUUCUUGAGACUAGCUGCAUGUAGUACACACCGUACAAGCGUGGAAAAUUGUGAAAACUAUUAGUGCUCAUCUAAUAUCUAAGAAGUUCACAUAUUGUACACUUCAAUAAAACAAAAUAAGUGCGUCCCUAAAAUACUAAAAGUUUAGACUAGUAUGGAAUUAUACAACAAAAUAGGAAACACAAAGAAUAAAUCAGAUCAAGCGAAAAAUACCAUCUUCUAGUGAGUCUCCACGUCUGUUGGUGUAAGUUGAUGGACAAAAGGACUUGUGCGGCCAAGGCCACGGGGAAGCAGGGCGGAAUAGAAUGCGACAACAUUGAUGUGGCCCAUAUCCAAUCCUUCCGUGAAUACCGUGCCCUAUGCAAGCUGCUCCGCUCGCCCUGAUUGGCACAAGACCUUACCCCUGCGGAGAGCACGACAAGCCUGCGAGCAAGCUGAGCAAUCGCAGUGCAUCGGCCACAACCAUGGCCGCAGCAGGAGAGAUUCGCGCAGGGCCCUAGAGCCAUCGCAAAAAACCUAGAAAAUGGAAAGAAAUAAAGAGAGGCUGGAGAAAGGAGAGAAGUCGCGGAUAGAGGAGAAAUGAACUACAUAGGAAGGUUAGAAGUUAGCCUACCUUUAUAGAAGACGAAUGCAAAAAGGCCAAAAGUGAAAAUUAAACGAGAGUUAAUGAAACUUAUGUUACCAAGAUUGAAGGACAAUCAAUGAAGGCUUAUGUUACCAACGAAAAAAGACCAAAAACAAAGGUGUACUUUGACUGCAGCACUUCCAACACAAUAACCGCAGAUCAUUAAAAUAUUUAAAUUUCUAAAAAAUAUAAUCCGCAGACCAUUCUAAAAUAAAAGUGAAUGCAGUUCUUUAAAGUAAUACCGGGCAGUUCACAAUACGUGUGCAUGAAGUGCAGUACAUGCUCAAAAUGAAGCACAAGAGAAGCACUUCCGUGCGGUGUACAAUGGGUUGACUUGGUGCACGUAAUGCAGUCCAUAAACGCAAGUCAUGCAGUCCACAAUGUUGGUACAAGCAGUCACAAUGUUGGCACAAAAAGGGAUGCACGCAGUGCAAAAUGUGUACGCCUGCAGCACAGUACACUGACAAAUGCAGUGCACACAGACCCAACAAAGCAGUUCACACACGUACACUAGAAAAAAGAAUACAUAAGAGCAAAACACGAAAAGAAAAUGUGACUUGUAUAUGUAGUGCGGAAUAUGUGAAUAUGCAGUACAGAGACAUGAUCAAUGCAGUGCAUGCCCCUACAUUUGAAAAAUACCUAAGAGGGGAAAUAUUAAACAAAAUUGACCACCCAGGUGCAAAUAGGCCCCAGCCAGUCUCGUAAUAGAACUGCGCCCUCAGUAGGUGAGUCGUUCUGAGCCACGAUGCAUGGGGCCGGGCACACAUGGGACCACAUGUCUGAGAGGAUAGAGCAGCGAGCGCCGUGUAUAAGCGCCCAAAUAAGUAACCAGAGGAGUUCGACACGGGUGCCUCGCCAGCGCUUAUAAACUGGUCGAGCGCCCUCUCCACGGGCGAGGUGGGACUAUACGAUACCGCUCACACAUAGCGCACUGGGAACCAACCGUGCUGACAGGCUUACUUGGGCCGAAUGCGUUUUCACUCCUCUAACACAGGACCAACACGCUAGAGUGGUUAAAAUACACAGGCCCAACACGACCCACUAGAAAAACAAUAAUUACAAAAAUAAAACAUCAAAGAAAAAUGAGAAACAUUUUUAAAUGAAUAAAAACCACAAAAAAGGUGUGGGCACUGCCAGAAACUAUAGUUCGCUCUAAUAAAUAAAAUGCAGCAAGCCCGAAGUCAACGUACAAAUGUAGUCCGCCACGUACAACAAUGCAGUUCGUCACGUGGAAGCACGAAGUAUUGUUAUUUCUGAAAUGCAGUUCUCUUUCUACUGCAUUGCAGUAGGGCUAAAAUGAAGAAUGCAACCCUGUUAGUUAAGCAAAGCAGUCCAAUACCCCUAUCCACACUACCCUCCAUCCACACAAAAGCUACAUCACCAUCAAAUAUAAAAAAAGAGAAAAUAAGAAAGAACUCCAUCAAAAAAGUAAAUGUGCGUACAUCUGUAUGAAUCCUGAUCCGAUAUAAUACAGUAUACGAAGAAUAAAUUUCAAUUGCAUGCAGUACACUAUGUGGACAUAGGCAUCUGUCGUGAUAGCGAAGAAGUGCACUUACUUGAAAAAAUCACCAAAAACACAAUCAUCAGAUUUUCUGACAGUUGCAUGCAUACCUGAACUUGCCACGUAAAAAGAGGCGACAGCGUUCUGGAUUUCCAACGCACUAAGACAGCCUCCUCAUAGCAGAACCUCUCUGCAGUUGGCAUGCAACUAAAAACAUAGCCCCACCACGCUACCACCCCACUCCACCGAUCCCAGGUCCUGUCACAGAGUGCAGAGGAGAAAACACAACUGCUUUGUCCCCCCAAAAAACCCAUUGCAUCUUCUUCUCCACACUUCCUUUCACUAACCUCUCUCUCAGAACAAACACGAGAGAGCAGAGGAGAGUCAUGGCGGAUGCACCUCUGUACAAGCAGCGCCGCAGGUACACCAGGGAGCUCCACGACGUCGACCUCCACGGCAACCACAAGCUCCACGUCGUUUGCACAAGCAAGGGUCAAGACAUGGAAAAGAUGCUGUCCACUCUCAGGAGGAAGCUCGGCGGAAUGCCCUUCAAACUAGUCAGCUUUGAUGUCGAGUACACGCACUACGUGAAGCCACAGCGGGCAAUAGUGUUCCAGUUAUGCGCAGAAAAAGAAUGCCUUGUCUACCACAUCUCUAUAGCUAAAGAUAGGUCAGAAUAAUUAUCAAUCUGUACUAUUGCUUGUCAAUAUUGAUUUUAAAUUUUCUUCAUCGCAAGUGCCAUUAUUUAAACUUUGGUUCUCAUUUUUACAAAGCAUGGCAUAGUAAUUCAUUGAUAGUUUUCAUCUGGCUCCAUGUAACUCAUGUGUUCAAUUCUUGAAUUAGAUGAUCUAGCAAUACAACAGUUUUAUUUUGUUUUGCCAAAUACAAAUUAUUUGUCUGAACAAUAGAUAAAUGCACCAUUACUAUCUAAAACAUGUAUGAAAUUCAAUUCAAGAAUACAAACAUGCACAAACAUGCAUUGUUUAUGGAAUCUAUUAUGAGAUUUACUAGUUAUGUUGUACAAAGUACUAGCAGCUAUUGGCAGCAACAGAUUCAGAUAUUCAAAUUGCACUUCAAUUUCAGAAAAAACAAAAAAACAUUGGUGGUUCUAAAAAAUAAACAAUAUUCAGUCUAUACAAACAUCUUGCAGGCCAAUGGAACUAGACAAAUUCCUCAUGAAUUAUGAAUACACCUUCGUGGGAUUCGCCAUUUAAGGAGACAAAAACAAGCUGAAGCUAUCUGGCUUGGAGAUCAACUCCGACAACUACAUUGAUAUUUAGGUGAAAUGGAGAGACCCAUACAGUAGAAAGAAGUUUGACUCUUUUGCUGAUGUUGUCAGUAGGAUGAUAGACAUUCAAUACCAUGAUAUGAAGAAAAAAUUAACCGCAAGGAGGACCAUACUCUGUGGGGAUUUUGCCCACUGCCAGACAAGCUUAUCAAAUAUGCAACAAUAGAUGCAUUCGCAACAUAUGAGUCAUGGAGAAUCAUCUACGAUAUCAUAAUGGGACUGGACAGGCCAAAAAGAGAAAAAGAAGCGAAGAAGAAGAACAAGGCUGUAAUCCAAUACAGCACCUAGAAAUGAACAGGGCUAUGUUUAGUUUCCUUUUACUUUAGUGGUUGUGUUGUUCCUUGUUUCAUGUCUGCAAGGUUUUGAUUAUGUCCGUUGCUUCAUAUCGAACGUUUGUUUGUAAAAACAAUGUUGUUGCACUAGGUAAUGAUUGCUGAGUUUGUAUUAGAACAAGUAUCUAGAUAACUUUGAAAAAUAUAAUGUGUGAUACCAAAACAUACUACACAGAUACAAAACAUAUUCAAAAACAACGUUAAACAAAAAAAAUCAAGUACUCUGACUACAACUCAUACCUAAAAAAGAAAGAUGAAUGCAGUUCACAAUGGUAAACAUAAGAAGUACACAUGUGUCCACAUGCAGUCCAUAAGAGUAACUAUAGAAAAAGACCAUUAAUAUUAAUAUUUCUAAAAAAUAUAAUCCGCAGACCAUUCUAAACAAAGGUGAAUGCAGUUCAUGGAAGAAAUAUAAGGCGGUUCACAAAGUGUAUACAUGAAGUGCAGUACAUGCUUAAAUGAAGAACGAGAGGGGCUACAGCCACUUUCGUGCAGUCCAUAACACACAGACUUGGUACACGCAGUGCAGUCCGCAACGUUGGUACAAGCAGUACAAAUGACAUCAUUGUACUACCAUGAAAUAUAUGUACUAAAAAAGAAAAAGAUGCCUCAAAUACGGAAAAAAAUUGACCACCCAGGUGCAACCAGGCCCCAGCUUGUCUCGUAAUAAGUCUGCGCCCACAGUAGGCGAGUCGUUCUGAGCCACGAUGCAUGCGGCCGAGCACACAUGCGCCCACAGGUCAGAGAGAUAAGUUCAGCGAGCGCCGUGUAUAAGCGCCCAAAAAAGUAACCACAGGAGUUCGAUAAGGCUGCCUCGCUAGCGCUUAUAAACAGGUCAAGCGCGCUCUCCGCGGGCGAGGUGGGACUAAAGGAUACCGCUCACACACAGCGUAGGAGAAAACACCCAUACAGGACGACUUGGGCCGAAUGCGUCUUACACCCCAACGGACCCAACAAAUUCUCACAGCCAAAAACAAAAAGCCCCACGAUGCACAACUAGCACGCAACUCCCGUACCCUCCCACCUAAUAAAAUGCAGUCCACUGUGCAGUUCGGUAUGGGAUGGAAGAUGUGCUGUCAAUUAAGCAUUGCAGUUCGCUUAGACGAUUGUUUUUUCAGCCAAUCAAGAACACUACCACGGCUAGCCCGCGUCCAACCGCCUCCUCCACUUGGCAAAUCUUUUCUCUUGGCUACCACGGCACAAUCCCCCGUCACACCCUGGCUUGGUUGACAGGCGCACGAGGUGUGGGGGCGGCAGGGUGUGACGGACUCGCCUACGCAUGUGGCACCACGGCACGCCGCGUCACGGCCUGCUCCCUCGUCCAGGCUCGGACUCGCAGGGGGGUGGGGAGAGGGGUCACGACCCCCCUCCCACCUCCUGCCCGGCCUCGCGCUAACGCAUGCAGUGCACUUGGUUGACAGGUGCAAUGCGGACAUUCUGUUUUUCCAACCCUAGGACGCACGCAACCCCAGAGCCACACCCCUAAGAUAGACAAGGGCAACGGGGUGUGAUGGACUCGCCUACGCAUGCCGCAGCGCCGCCUGCUCCAGCUCGUUCUAGGCUCGGCCUCGCACGGGGGNNNNNNNNNNNNNNNNNNNNNNNNNNNNNNNNNNNNNNNNNNNNNNNNNNNNNNNNNNNNNNNNNNNNNNNNNNNNNNNNNNNNNNNNNNNNNNNNNNNNNNNNNNNNNNNNNNNNNNNNNNNNNNNNNNNNNNNNNNNNNNNNNNNNNNNNNNNNNNNNNNNNNNNNNNNNNNNNNNNNNNNNNNNNNNNNNNNNNNNNNNNNNNNNNNNNNNNNNNNNNNNNNNNNNNNNNNNNNNNNNNNNNNNNNNNNNNNNNNNNNNNNNNNNNNNNNNNNNNNNNNNNNNNNNNNNNNNNNNNNNNNNNNNNNNNNNNNNNNNNNNNNNNNNNNNNNNNNNNNNNNNNNNNNNNNNNNNNNNNNNNNNNNNNNNNNNNNNNNNNNNNNNNNNNNNNNNNNNNNNNNNNNNNNNNNNNNNNNNNNNNNNNNNNNNNNNNNNNNNNNNNNNNNNNNNNNNNNNNNNNNNNNNNNNNNNNNNNNNNNNNNNNNNNNNNNNNNNNNNNNNNNNNNNNNNNNNNNNNNNNNNNNNNNNNNNNNNNNNNNNNNNNNNNNNNNNNNNNNNNNNNNNNNNNNNNNNNNNNNNNNNNNNNNNNNNNNNNNNNNNNNNNNNNNNNNNNNNNNNNNNNNNNNNNNNNNNNNNNNNNNNNNNNNNNNNNNNNNNNNNNNNNNNNNNNNNNNNNNNNNNNNNNNNNNNNNNNNNNNNNNNNNNNNNNNNNNNNNNNNNNNNNNNNNNNNNNNNNNNNNNNNNNNNNNNNNNNNNNNNNNNNNNNNNNNNNNNNNNNNNNNNNNNNNNNNNNNNNNNNNNNNNNNNNNNNNNNNNNNNNNNNNNNNNNNNNNNNNNNNNNNNNNNNNNNNNNNNNNNNNNNNNNNNNNNNNNNNNNNNNNNNNNNNNNNNNNGCCUCGUGCUAAUGCAUGCAGUGCAUUUGGUUGACUGGCGCAGUGCAGACAUUCUAUUUUUCCAACCCUAGGACGCACGCAACCCCAGAGCCACACCCCUAAGAUAGGCAGGGAGGCGAUGUGAUAGGGGAUGCAUCACGUACAAGCAAAAAAAUCAAAUGUAGGCCGCAACUCUAUAUAAUGAAGUGCAUUUGUUUAGACAAAAGCAGUGUAGUAUCAUAAACAACGCAGUUUUGGAAUACAUACACAAAUACAGGGGCUGCAGCAAGUACAGGGAAUACAGGCGCUGUACAAACCUAUAGACAAAUAAACUAUCGUACACGCAAAAAAACAAAUGCAGGAUGCAACUCUAUACAAUGAAGUGCAUUUGGUUAAAAAAAGCAGUGCAGUAUCAUAAGCAAUGCAGUUUCGGAAUACAUACAUGAAUACAUGGGCUGCAGCAAGUACAGCAAAAAUACAGGUGUUGUACAAACCUGUGGACAAAUGCAGUGCUUUUUGUUAGACGAAGAAGUUCGGCAUCACAUGCAAUGCAGUUUCUGGGACACGUACGAUACAUAUAAGUGUGAACAAUGCCAGUUCGCACAAAACAUGGUGGCAACAAAUAAAAAUAUAUAUAUUGUAUGAGUUAUUUAUAUAAAAUAAAAUAGACACACAAAUUCGUCCUUAUACGCUGCUGCAAAAAGCAGACGAAACACAAGAAAACAGAAAAAAUAGUCUUUUCAUACAUUAUCUACCUUAGACAGUACAGAGUACACAACGUGAACCCUAGUUCUUGUCCAUACAGAGGCUUUUACCCAGGAUUUUUUUUUUCAAAUGACUGUUACUGCAUCUGCAACUGCGACAGGGAAGUAAGCCCGAGGCUUCCAAUUAGAUCUCAUAGCUCAGGCGUCAUGUCUUCAUAAUACAACAUGUUCGAAGGAUUAAACAAUAGCUGGAAAAUGUAUUCCACCUUCCAAUAUUCAACAGCAGGCUGAAAGAAAAUAAAAAAAUGCAGACCAGUGAUUAAAGAAAAGGUUGUUAUAAGAACAAAAAGUGAAAACUAAAAAAAAUAAAAAAAAAGUAAUAAGAAAAGAAGAAACAGAGAAGUUAUUACGUCGGAUUUGACAAUUUUGUCGACUAGACCUUGGCCGUCAUACAACUGCGUCGCCCUCAAAACAGAGAUUCCACACUCGUUUGUUCCCUGCGUUGGCACGACCGGGUAAGAGGGAUUCUCUGCCAAUUUAACCCAGUCAGGGUGGUUCUUAGAUUUAUAAAACUUUUCACCAUAAAUCGCCUUCAGCCGUUGAGCCAUCCUCCUUAUCUGGCAAAAGGCAGCACAAAGUAAAAUAACACACAUCACAGAUCAAUAACUAUUCAGACGAACUGAAAAAUACAAUGUUCUUCUCAACGUCUAGACAGUCCCUCUUUUAAAUGCUCGUGAGGUCAUUUCCUUUUAUCACUUUUUUUACACAGGUUGGGGGUGUGAGAGAAUGCAGUUCUGUCACGCAUAUGUUGCAGUGCACUAUAUAAACAAGUGUGGUGCUAUGUGUGCUAACAUUGCAUGUGUGCAGUUUAUAUAAAAUGCAGUAGGAGAAACACAAAAAAGAUUUGCACUUGGCUAGAAAAAAUGACAUACCACUUCAGUGCAAUCUGAGUGGUAGUUAGUCCUGCGCCACUUUGUUGUGAAAUCAGGAUGGCCAGUGUACUUCCUAUUGCCAUGGAUAUCAAUCGUCCGGCGAUGCUGGUUCAUCGUGUAUAAGGAAUAAUGACCAUUCUUGGAGCGCGGCAUCAUACUUUGUCACAUCAAAAAACAAAAUGAAAAAUGAAAAGUUCAUUCGACACGUAGCACUAGGACCACUGCUCCAAAAUAACUAUAAAAAGAAAUGCAACUAACAAGAAAAUAAAUGACGGAAAACAAUGGCUUACCAGUUUUGUGGCCAACAGGUUUUCGUCACCACUCACAAAAACUUUGGAGUGCUUAAUAGCAUCUGCUAAAACAAAUGGGGGAUGCACAACUGGCAACACAGGGUGUCCUUCAUCAUAUUUAUUCACAAAGGUUUCCAUUUGAAGAACAUACUACAUACAAAAAUAACAAAAACAUGACAUAAAAAGAAUAAAACAUGCAUGCACGCAUGGACAUGACAAAAUCAGUACAAGAGAAAAAAUGACAGCACACGUUUAACGUGAUAAAUAAAGGUGAAAGUAGCAAACAUUCACUAGAAUGAUAAACUAAACCCAUUUCAGGGUCUUGCUUCCAGUACUUGAUGACAAAAUCCAUGAGAUACGAGUCCAUUAAAGCUCCUUUGCCGAAUGUAUUAUAGAUAUAGUCAACAGUGUCAUUUUUGACAUCACCAAAAGGAUUAUUUACCAUAAAGAACGCGUUCUUGCAGUAAACAUAUGCAGAUGGGAUCAAUAAAAAUAAAAUUAAAAACCAAACACAUAAAAAGGAUGAAGGGCACACACAUAAAACUUACUCAUGGUAUUUGGUUACAAAAUCUUUGCUGAGAACGAGAUCGUUUAUUUUCCUCACCUCAUCAAUAUAUUUGAAUCUCCGAGGCUUCAAAUUCUCUAUAGAGCAUCUCAACUUAAAAGCCCUCUCACCUGCCCUCUUGUUCGAAAAUACUUCAGUCUCGUCCACAGGAGGACGAGUCAUUGCUGCACUCCUAGUCAUAGUGACGCGUGGGCACGGCGUAACAAAAUCAUCAUCAUCAACAUCAAAUACAUCUUGUGAAGAUCUAGGUCGAGCAACACUUCCACCAUAAGGUCCAGACGCCACAUCUGUGUUCAAACCAUCUCCAGCCAAAGAACCAGAAUUAUCUGGAGAGAUUUCAACGGCACAAUCCUCCAUAACUAGCUCAGAACCCUGGGACUCAAACGGUGAUGUACAACCUUCAUGAAGGCCCCCAUCAAAACCUAAAAACGUGUAGGAAAAAAAUGGAAACACUCACCACAAAAUACAAAACCAAAAAACAUUAAAUACAUCUCAAUAAUAUAAAAAAGCAGUUCACUAAAGAACAGAAUGCAACCCACUUCUCCACAACAAUGCAACCCACUUCUCUACAACAAUGCAGCCCACUUGUCUAUAACAAUGCAGGCCACUACUCUACAACAAUACAGCCCACCUGUCUACAACAAUGCAACCCACUUAUAAAGAACAAUGCAGCUCACUUGCCCCAAAAUAAAUGCAGCUAACUUGUCUACAACAAAUGCACCUCACUAACACAACAAAAAUAUAGCCAUCCAUUCUAAAUCAUGCAUUUAACUAAACACACUAGUAAAAAAGCCCUUAAGAAGUGGAAGCAAGCAGUAGCCAAAAAAAAGGGGAAUAAAGAAGUUCAAUAAAACAACCUUUAUCUGCAAAAAUUAAAAGUGAUGUUAAAUCAAGGCAACACUUUCUCGAUGUGCGCCAACUAUAGACCAUGGCCUUUCUGAUUUAGCCAAUGUGCUCCACCCCAAACUAAGCAACUCGAACACCAUGCCAAGUCUGCAAGAAUUGAAACAUAUAGAAUCCAUAAUCAUGCCUACAAUAAAAGAAUAAAAAACAUCAGUUUCACAAAAUGAAAUAAAAAAUAAAACUUGAGCAGUAUGGUGGAGAGGGGUUGUACGGAACACACCCAUUUGGCUGAAUUGGGACAAUGUCAUGUUUCAACACAAAUCCAUCAAGUCUAGGAGGAUUUAGCGGCUCAUCAGAACUUGAACUACCUUCUUUCCAUGCACGCUUGAUAUUUUUAACCAUCCUCCUAAAAAUCCUGAUCGCAUCAGGGCUGCCAGGUUUAUUGAGCGAGUCAAGAAAUUCAAACCGCCUUUCUUUCAAAUUUAAGGCAACUACACAAUAAUGACCAAGGCCAUCUCUCGUCUCUGGCGGAUCAAAUGUUGCAAACAGGACCUGUUGGAAGUACGAAAAAUAAAUAAAAUUAUUACAAGAGGAAGAAACAGAACACUAUAAGAACCAACAUACAAAAUAUGGUUUUCGACACAUAAAAACGUUACUCACCAUAUCUUUGUUAUCAACAUGCUCCUCGGCUAUUGAAGAGAACAUCAUUUUAACACUCCUGCCUACAGUACCACCAUGCCAAACACUUGUCUGCCAAAACAAAACCAAAAAACAAAUAGUGCUCAAGCAAACAGAUCAUCACACGAAAUCAGAAAAGAAAAUCAAAAAAUAAAACAAAAAUUUAUGCAUUCUUACACAAAUAUGGUACGGGACAACCAUCGUCGGAGAUCCCUUAAACUUAUCACUACUAGGAAAAGGCCUACUAGUGGCGCACCCGUUUUUCCUACUAAUGGCGCACUACUGGUGCGCCACUAGUACCACGCCACUAGUAUUAAAUACUAAUGGCGCACCACUGGUGCGCCAUUAGUAUCUGGUAUACUAAUGGCGCAUCACGCCGUGCGCCAUUAGUAUAGACCAACAUGCGCCAUUAGUGUGCCUCCCAGGGGGCGAUAUUUACACAUGUGCUUUGCCAUACUAAUGGCGCACUGUGGGGUGAUGCGCCAUUAGUAUCCUUUGGCAUAAUAAUGGCGCACGUUGGGUUAUGCGCCAUUAGUAUGAAUAUUAGGGAUUUUUUUCUUUUCUGAUAUUUGCACAGGUUACAAAAUAUUUUAUUGGACAGAAUAUAGACAGCACCACACAGCAACAGCAGAUUCAUCGAAUACAAUCGAAGAUUAGUCUCCGAAUACAAUUCAUCAUAUUAGUCUCCGAAUUCAAAAGACCGAACAAAGAUAGAACAUUACAAGUCUCGAGACCGUGAGUAGCGAGUUUGUCUUCACAUUACAAGUCGAUAUCGAUCAUCUAAACUACCAUCACAUAGAAGAGAGCUGCGGUCAUCACGAUGAGCAUCAUCGCGAUGAAACUGGUCUUCAUCCGGUUCCUCCAAUGCUCCCUCCUCUCUCUCGCUAGAUAGCGCGCAUAUCUAGAUUCCGCCUCCGCCCUAGUGGUGUACCCUUUGUAACUGUUACCGCUGAAACGGUGAACCUGUUUCCGACACUCCUCCCAGUCGUCGUAGACUCCGGGAACCUUACCCUUGUACACGACAUACAACGACAUCUCUAUGCACUAGCCAAACAACAGACAAUACAUAAGCAAUAUAUAGGUAUGUAACAAAAGGAUCGGAAGAGAAAAGCAAGACAUUAAUAGCACGAUUCAUGGUCCUACUAAUAAAUAACAUCGAUUACAUCUAAGUUGAACGGCUAUCCAAACCAAAGAGACAUACAAGUUCAUUAAAGUUUAAUUACAACAUGAGCUAAUCGAUGUUUCAGAACUAGACAUAGCAUCACUACUUUCGACUCGACUCAUGGGACCGGAGCGUGGAUGAAGCCGCCGUCUUUCGUGAUGGUCAUGAAGUCGCGGGCGUUGUCAGCCUGCAUUUGUAGCGUUGUGUCUAUCUCACUGUUGGACGAUUGAUAUCUGAGGUAGAACUGCCCCGAGGUACGAAGGACAUCUUGAUGGAUGAUUUCUGCAAACUCCAACUGGACGCGAAAGAAUUCUUGUCGGAUGUCCGCGUCCUGGAUUGCCGCCAAGCUUGCGGCCCAAUCUUUGAGAUUAUUUGGUAGCAGAAGGUGAUUAUGGUCCCGUACGAUCGCCCGCAUGUGAUGGAGGGCGUAGUAGGCAUCCUUCUGACCGCCAGGCGGCUGCUUGACGUAGGGGAACGUCGUAUUGUGGGUGAACACGUGCCUGCCGUACCUACGAGCUGGCCUCUUAAAGGUGCCUCCAGAUGCGGCGUAGCCGGGGAGAGCAUCAUCAAGAACUUUCUUGAUAUUUGUGUAGUCUAUCUUGGAGUCACGGUCCGGGUCGAAAUAUGUGGCCAUGGAAUAUUUCGGGCUUAAGAGGAUGAGUGUGCAAUGUGUGUUACUGCACAGAACACGGAAUGUUAGAAAAAAAGAACGAUCGAAAUCUAAGAAAUCAUAUGUUACGGGGUGGUUAGGGGAUGACUUACUCGGGAAAGUAAGGCACGAGGAAGUUAUUCUUAUCUGGGUUUGCCAGAAUGACGCCUUCGAGGUGUGAACUCGCGACUUGCCGGUCCCGAGCGCUGCCCAAGAUCUUGGCACGCAUGUAGAAGGGGUCGACUAUCACAAUGUCCGGGGUCUUGUCUCUAAUGAUCCGCAUCUCCAUACUCAGCAAAAACAGCCGAACGAAGGUGUAGUGCAGCGGAUGAAGGUUAAACAUAGCAAAGAUGUCAUCAAACCGCAGGACGAUCGUACCCCCGACGGUGCUAUCCACAAAGCCCUUGCCCUCUGGCACCUUGGCCACGAAAACCGGGUAUGCCACAUCAUUCUCUCUGAGACGCCGCUUCUCUAAAGAAACAACACUGUCAUGCAGAUUCCGCAUAGCACCGGUUGCAGCAUUGAGCAUAUUUGUCGGUAGCAUCGCCCUACCCGCCACAUGCACCCUCCUCGAGAUAUCCUUAGGUGAAGGUGGCCCGUCCUGAGCACGGAUCGUACUCGGUGCCGGCUGGCUCGCACCGGCGCCCUUGUUAGUCUUUCGUUUCCGUCUCUUCUUCUUGAUCUGCUGUAAUGGGAUCGAGUUCUGCUCACAGACCGCCUUCUUGAGCGUGUUGGGGCUGAUAAUAUUUCGCACCUCAGCUAUCUGAGGCUCGGUGAAGGCGGCAGCUGGAGGCGUCUCCUGUGAACUGAACGCCAGACGACGCCUGUUGCAAUUGGGUUUCUCCGCUGUACCAGCUAGAUCGCGGUCGUCUUUUUCAGGGUUGGGUUCUUGAGAAGGAGGCCCGCAGAACUCGUCACCGUACCCAUGUUCGGCAAAGUACUUAUCAACGUUGGUAAAUGUACCGUCGUCGUUGUCGUCGUCGUCCGGAUCCUGUGCCAUAUGCAUGUCCGGAUCCUGUGCCAUAGGGAUGUCCGGCAUGUCCGGUAGCGUUGCGGCGUUCUUGCCAUGGCUUGGCGCUGGCACGACUGGCGGUCUUGUCUGUGGGGUGGUGUCCCCCGCCCCCAAACGAAUCUGGCUCUUCGGCAAAGCAGGGGCCAACUUAUGCAGGCGCUGAGGGUCAUCACAUCAUCUUCGUCGGCCCCAGCGGGUCGAAUCGGAGGUAACAACUCGUCGCAGCCUGGCAGCACCUGAACCAGUUCAACCCUAUACAAGGUGGGUGGCAUCGGAUUACCGUGGAACACGCGGUUGCCCGGUUGAACGAUUCUGCCCUUGGCGACAUCGACCAACUCGCCGCCCACGAAGUGCAGGAGAGUGCAAGGAACGUCGGCAGCGCCCUGCGAAAACAUGUAGGGCGUCAGGGAUGCCCAGUCAAAGGCAAGGAGAUGAAGUCAACAGCCGAGAGGCUUAGCUACCGUGAUGCCGUCCAGCUGGGCUAAUGUCGAGGCAGCACCAACGACGGGCGUGCAACUGACGGAGGGGCCGCUUGCUGGCGAGGUGCCGGCCGGCGUACACCCGGGUGCAUUAAGCUCCAAUGCCCGUGCCGGCGCCGGAGACACGAAUACCGCCUCCGCCGGAGACACCAAUGGCGCCGCCUGCGCGUUGUGCGAGUUACUGGCCGUGAAGCUGGGAACCGGGGGAGGCCCCUGUUGGCCGCCCGCAAUCCACGUCGUCAGCCCCUAAUGGUAGGCACCAUGGCGGUGAGCGUCGUUCCCAGUUGUUGUUGCACUUGCUCUUGGACAAUCUCCGGAAUCCGCGCCACUUGUGCCUUGAGUUCUUGAACCUCGCGCGACUGGCUUUCCGAGCUGGUCUUUUUCUCCUUUCGCCCACCAGCGGUAUAGUAUGACGACCAUUUUGUGGACAAGCCUUUGCCGGCCACACGACUAGCUGAUGACGGCUUACUGAGCUUAUCCUUGUUUUUCAUUACGUUCAACGCCCUAUUUAAAGGGGUGUCGAAAGGGGAGCUCUGAGACAACCCCGCGCUACUGCUUUCAGCCUCCUGCGGAAGGAAUGUGAACCAUUUAGAAAUUUGGCUUCAUUAAUUAGAAUGCAACCAUAUGGAGCUAAUUAUGCGGGGCUGUAUUCCUUACCAGAACAAGCUCAAGCGCCCUGGUCUUCGGAUCCGUGGUAAGCUCCUUUGUUACCGAGUCCUCCUUGUACCGGGCCGUGACAAAGUUCCUGGUCUGCUUGUCACGGUAUUUCUCGAAGCGGGGCGAUAGGCCUUGCUCGGCACGCUCCACGUCCUCCUUGUCCCAUAUAGGCUCCGCCACUCUGUAACCGCCGGGACCGAGUUGGUGGACCCCUAAGUUCAACUGCCGCAUUUCUUUCCCCCACUGACUUGAUUCGGAGGUUGCGCUGCUCUCGCACUUGAUCUUGAACUCCUUGUAGUCAUCUUCGCUGAUCAAAGGAUAUUUUGCCUUGAUCUUCUCAUAACUAUCAGCUUUUUCAAUCAUUGCCUUCACCGUGCUUCCCCAAGUAGACAGGGCCGUGCUCAUCCUCGUGAGGGCGGCACUGUUCACUUUAUUCCCUGAGAGGCGUGUGUUUGCAAAGUCAGCGGGGAACUUGUAUCGUUCGUGCAGCUUUGUGAAGAGGAGGCUGCACAAAUUCCCUUGGUCCUUAUGCCUUAGGUUCUCGGUGUUGAUCGAGACGGUGCUCCGGAGAAUGCAGCCGAGCUGAACCGAGUACCCCUUGACUAAUUCUUUGGGCGCCGUUGGAUGCCCGUCGGAGUUCACUUCAGUAAAUUUCUCCUUGACGGUGCCGAGCACGCUCGGGCGCCGGUCCUUCCGUUGCCUCUUCGGUUGGCUGCCAUCUGUGCGUGCGCCGCCAUCAUCAGUGGUGGCAUCCUCGGUGGCACCAUCAGUGGUGUCAUCCCCGACGCCACUAGGGAUUGUGUAGUCAGGAUUGGUGUCUUCCGCGGCGUCCUCAUAGCGGUGAGGUUCUUCCUCCAUCUCCUGGGACAGCUCCCAGAAUUGCUUGCCCGAACCGCCGGCCUCAUCGUUGUGGGCCAUGUUUUGCUCUAAAUAGGAAAUAAGUUUGGUCAAAAAGUUGGUUAUUGUCAAGGAACAAGAUCUCUAAGUUGACCAAAUAACCUAAUUCUCGAGGAAUGUCGCCAAAAAGUUGGUUAUUGUCAAGGAACAAUUGAGAGAUGUUUGUGAUAUUGCCUAGGUGUUUUGGGAUGGAACCUGUUAGUGUGUUGUUGCUAAGGUCCAAGUCCACGUUCUCAAGGUCUAAGAUAAUUUAAUCAGGGCAGUGGCAGUGGAUUCGUGCACAAGCUAAGCUAGCUAAGACAGUAGCUUCCUUGCAACCCACAAAAGACAAAGGAAAAGGGGUGAAAAGGGGGAGAUGGUUAGCUUUGAUGAGCAGGCAGCAUCUUCCUAACCCCCUUCUUCUUGUCUCCUCUCACUAUCUCUCUCACACACAUGGCAAGCAAGGGUGUCUAAGUGUGUGAAAAAAUACUAAACUAAUCCAACCACUAAAGCGUGGAUUUUUUUGUUUCAGUUGAGAAUCGGGCACCUUCUAGGUCAAGAAAAUGGGCAUGACCUUUGCUAAUUUUCUUGACCUAGGAGUGCCCCAUUCUCAACCGAAACGGAAAUUAAUCAACAUUUCAGAAGAAAGGGGUCAUUUCAGAAGAUCACAAGUAGCAGCAGCAUCACAUAUUUGUGAUAAUCUCAGUAGAAACACACCAAGCAAGUAUUAUCAACAGAAAGAAGCUGCCCAGAACUGUUACUGACCAGGCCACCAAUGAAUAAUGAACACUGGUGAUGAAAUACAGCAAAUGCAAUGGUUCAGGAUAACACCAAGACAUGGACUGCCUCUAUGUUGAGAAGCCAGUGACAGUCAGCAGACAGCAAUGCAGCGAAUUUCAGAAAGUUUAGUUUGUAGCAGUUGUCAAACAAAUGUAUCAGUCCAUUCCAUCAAAGUAUACUAGAUUGUGUCAUUAGCAUGACAGGGGGUAAGCAAAGUACAGUAUGACAUUAGAUGGAGCAAACUGGAGAUUUGGUUGGGCAUUUAGGCUUAAAUUCUGAGAUUUUCUUACCAACAGUAUGGAUGAAGCAAAGAAACCACUCAUUGAUAUUUCAGAUUUACAUACAAGAAAAUGAAUCACAAAGGCACAAAAUGGAGAUCUGAAAGACAACUUUCAUUCAGAUUGCUGAUGACAACAAGAUGGUAAGGGAAACAAAGGUGAACCUCUCUCUUCUUGCACUCCUUGUAGUUGUCAAACUGCUGCUGGCACUUGCUCUUGUCCUGCUUGGUCUCCAGACCUGGAGACACGGCACAUCAUGAGGGAUUUCAUCAAAUACAUACGAAACAAUAGACAGCUCGUUCUCUGAUCACUACUAAAGGUAGCAUACUUCCAAUCAACAUGAAAAGUGAAAUACCAGGAUGAUCGAAGUUGUAGUCCUGAGCACUUGCAGAUUCUUCAGCAGUUAAGCCACGGUAAAAUGAAUCCUACAAAAUUAAAGGCCAUACUGGGUGCAUCAGAGAUACUGUAGAAAUAGCACUACCAGAGUUGAAUCUACAAAAUUAAAUGAAUCCUACAAAAUCCAAUCCUACUGUAAAAUGAAUCCUACAAAAUUAAAUGAAUCCUACAAAAUAGCACUACUGUAAAAUGAAUCCUACAAAAUUAAAUGAAUCCUACAAAAUCUAAUCGUACUGCAUCAGAGCUGACUUUAUCAAAUGGGUGCAUCAGAGAUGCAAAUUUAUUUGCUGGAGAAAUAGCACUACCAGAGUUGAACUAACUGACGAAACUGAACUAACUGAAGAUACUGUAGAAACUGAACCUUGAUGAGUUUUUCUCCAAAUCUGAGAUUAUAUUUGGCACUAGUCAAUUUAACUGAACUAACUGCUAAGCACAUCCCCUCAUCAAGAGGGGAGCUCCUUCCUAACUCCAUAAUUUAUUAACUCAAAAAAACUCGAUAAUUUAAACCACAGAUGCAAAACAGCCCAAGAAAGCUCACAAAAUGCCGAAGAAACAUAUUUCACAUAACAAGAGUAACAAGCCCUAGGAGGAUUAUAAGGUUUCCUACCAGCCCAAGACCAAAUUCAGUCACUUGAUACAUCAUCAUCAUCAUAAUACAGCCAUCAAAUCUAUAGACUAAACUAACAAUUAAGGAUCAACAUCCAUACUAUAUCAUGCUCAGCACACGCACAAAAUGUUUCACCGAGCACUAAACACAUCCAUCUAGCAGACCAAACAGCCCG